AAAAAUCAAAGGCGUGAGCUCCCUAAAUAAGCUGAACUACUGAUAUAUACUCCAUGGGGUAGUGGCUAGCUGCUUCACAGUUCCUGGCACUUAUUUGGCGACGCCGGUCUCCUCGCAGCCCGGGGGCUUGUAGGCGAUGAACAUGAUGCACUGCACCUGCCUGACGUUGUCGAAGCCAAGGAUACGGAUGUAGGCGUCGGGGUAGGCCUUCUUGCACUCCUCGAGCUCAGCGUACACCUGGGUUGCCUCGGUGCAGCCGAACAUGGGCAGCUUCCACAUGGUCCAGUAACGGCCGUCGUAGUAACCGGGAGACCUGUUGUUCUCACGGUAGACGAACCCAACCUUGCUGAACUCGAGGCAAGGGAUCCAGUUCUUCCGGAUCAGGUAGUCGAUCUGCUUCAGGAGAUCGUCGGUUGAGAGAGGCGGCAGGUAGGAGAGGGUCUCGAACUUCUUGCCCCCAAUCGGCCACACCUGAACAACGACACCCAGUUGCUUUCAGCUCAGAUUUGAACACCAGCAAGAUAGAAUAUAAUUCCAGUGACUAGAUCGAUCAAUUGUUACCUGCAUGCACCUGAUCCUCCCGCCGUUGCUGACGUUGCCGAAGCCGGAGCUGGUGGAGCGGCGGCUGACGGGGAGUCCGGCGGUGGACUUGAGCCCCUGGAAUGGAGCGACGGAGGUGGCGGCCAUCGCGGUGGGGGCCAUGAUGGCUUACUAGCUGAGGAGACGAGCUACAGAGCAAGAAAGUUUUGCUGCCACCUCCGUGCUCGUCCCUUCUCGUUCACGCCCCCUGGUUCCUAUAACCAAAGCAGGAGAGACGUGCACGGACAUCUGGAUGGGGAAGGAGUGGCUGCUGUUCGAUAUCAUCCAAUCUUGUGUGGCUGAUGCCGCAACACGGCAGCUGUAGCCUGCUCGUGACCAUAGAGCCACACGCUCCGUUGUUGGCUGAGCAACGGAGAUGGCAUGCGGCCGGUGCGAAUCCAGCGGGAAAAUUACAGGACACGGCGAACGGUCGAAGUAAACUGCUGCGCUGAUAACGAUCGAUCGAUUUUUCAGUUCUGUUUAUGUUUCCUUUUCACGUAUGUGUCGUCAUCUCUGCAAAGUCUUGACUUCCACAACGGAGUGUCGUUCUGCCGUUCUGCGUAUUAGGAAGAUUGUCGUCUUCUGGUGACGUAGCCUUUUUCCAUUCUUUUCCUUACCGUUUGUUCCCCUUAGCAUGUAGCCUUCUCCAACUAUCCCUGUUUUUAGUGAAGUCGCUUUAUUUUCACGAAAUAGGAUUAGCAACGUAUCUCUUUGCUGUCGGUCUAUCUAUGCCAGCGUGAAUGGCACAUAUGUGUCAUAUAUGUUAUUAUGUAACUAAGUACUCCCUCCGUUCUAAAUUGUAGGUCGUUUUAAUUUUUCUAGUACGUUAUAUCUAUGAACUAAUAUCUAUGAACUUAAAAAUACUAAAACAACCUAGAAAGCUAAGGAGUUCAUCAUAAGGGCAAACUUCACCAACAUAGAAUCUGACUCCUCGACCACUACUUUGCUCAUGCCCAUCUCAUCAGUUGCACUAACACCCUCCAAGCACGCCAGGAUGUCUGCAUGGAACGCGUUCAUUAGAUUCAGACAUCCACCUGCCCCUGCUCUGGUCACCUGGCCAUCUCCAUCCCUGAUUACAUAUCCCCACCCUCCUCCUCCUCCUGUGCUGGCUUUGAAUGCACCAUCUAAAUUUAUCUUGAAAGAAUCAUUGAUGGGCCUGCUCCAGUGCUGCUGUUGACGAGGUAGCUGGACCUUCCCCUCACCCAUCUUUGUUUUUCAACCUUCUUUGAAAGAAACAAAUCAAAGGCAUGCUCCCUUCUUGUCCUUGCGAACCUCAUGUGUUUAUGCGAGAAGGAAGCUCUUGCAGAGGUAACAAUAUCUUUUUUUUAUCUUCUUGAUUUGCAUUCUAAUGCAUUAUCUUUGUGCUCUUAUAUGGCUGAUUUGGAUUUUGCAUUUAAAUUGUGUUAUUCCCACCAAGCAUGUCGUUUGGAUGUAUAUUCGGAAACAAAUGCCUAUUGUUUCGUUGGUGAAUGCAAGGAUUGAUCGUGCUUGGUCUGGCAACUAGCAUUCUUUGUAACAUCUCAUAUUUUUAUGUAUUGUUAUGUGCACAGUUCUCAAAUUUCAAACUUUUUGAUUGAAUAAAAUUAGGCAUGAAAAGGUUUCAGAUAUAACCGAUGCUGCUGCCCUAGUGUCAAUUCCUAAUUAAAAUUAUGCACCAAAAAAACUUGAGCAUAGUAGUUGCAUGAGUAAUUUGAAGUUAUUGGAUUUAGUUGGAUUUUUUCCUAGAGGCGGAUUUGAAUUUGAAUCAUGGAUUUGAAUUCAAAUGUAUUUCAAGUCUGGAACAGAAAAACUUGAUAACAUGAAUUCCAUGUUUUCCAGCAAAUGCGCACCUCCCGAUUGCCAAAACUUUUCUAUCUACACUCCAAAUCUGUCGAUCUAUAGGUCUGUCCAAUUUUGUCCAUCGAAUCGGGGGCUUCAUCAUGGUGUGCCUUAAUAUGUGAUUUUGCCUCACUUUCUUAUUGGUUUAGACACUUCUUUCUAUCUUUCUAUCUCCAAUAAAAUUAAGGCAAAUGCCUAGAGAAAAUAUUCAACAACAACAAGAUAGCCUUUCGGUCCCAAGCAAGUUGGGGUAGGCUAGAGUUGAAAUCCAACAAGAACCACAAAUCAGGGCUCGGAUUUCUCUUGGGUUUCAUCUCUGUUGGGGAAUUGGCCCAGGGUCGCGGGCUGGAAGGAUUGUCUCCGCCGGGACACUUCCGGAGUUUCGGAAGUUCUCCUUUUCCCUACGGAGAGAACAUCCCCCUUUUUCCCCCUCUCUCUGCGGCAGCCACGGACCUUGGGGCCGAGGAGCCAUGGGAACCGAGAGAACCCUAGAGCUACCGGGGGUCUCUCAAACUCAGAACUUAGGAGGCUUUCGCUGUCACCAAAGCCCUUGUCGGAACACGCCAAUAUCGUGCCAGCCGGUCCGAACCGUGUGGGGGUAGGAGGACCCAACUAAAUAAUUCGGAGCUCCUUCGAAGAUCUCUACCCUACCUGGAAGCCCCACGCCUCGGGGAAGAAGAAGGAUAGAGACAGAACGCCGGUCCCUACUCCUAUAGGGGCCCUGGGAGUAAGAACUUUAACUUUACUCACCCUCGGGGGAAAAGGAGUGCGCCUGCGUCAGCCCUAGAUAUGGAGGCUGAUGUAUCCACCCUCCAUACGAGAAGCGCGGGCAGGGAGACACCACGUUAGCCCUAGGUACAGAGGAGAGGGUUAGACCUUGCUACCCUUAAGACCGUACGCCAGUGGGUCCAGUGCCGAAGGCACUGUACCACAGGCAUAAGGGUCCUUAGUCCAAAAAGGCCCCGCUCCCUUAGGCUAUAAAUAGAAGAGUUAUGGGCUCACUCAAGAUACAAAAUGCUAGCCACUUAGUCCCCUAGAAGCUCUUUUGGACAAGUGUCUUGUUCAAGAGCCACCAUGUCUUGUUCAAGAGCCACCCUCUACUGUUUGGGCAUUUCAUAACCACCAACAAUCUCUAUUAGAAUGGUUAGGUUUAAUGUUGGCCUCCUUUACCAGGACUUGGGACCUGCUAUGUUGAGACAACAUAGGUGGAGUUAGAGAAAACAUUCAAAACAUGCAAAAUAAGUUAGUAAACAAAAUCUAUGGAUAUGAGUGUUAAUAACCAAGUCUGCUAAUGUUAGUUGUCAACUGUCAAAACUAUAUACUCCAAUGGAAACACAUACUUCAAUUUUUCUUGGGUUCUCCAAUUUUUACAAUUAACAAUUAUGGUCUUCAACAUAUAUGCUCUCAAAUCCUUAGUGGUAAAAUUCCACCUCUGUUUACCCUUAAUAUUAGCAUAAAAAUAACCAUCAUUAUCAUUGAUCAUACAUAAUAAUCAGAUCAUAUCCACAUAUAGCUGUGUUUUGGAGCAUACCGUGUUUUUGAGGAAAAUAGCGAGAUUUGGAGCAUACACAUUCAAGGUCCAAAACCAACAAUUAGCCUAGAAGAAAUGAAGACCAAAAUGCCCAAAAAGGGGCUAGCUGAUCGGCAAGGUCCAUGUAACCACCCAAAUGUAUCCAAAUUUGGUGAAUGUUCAUUCUAGGAGACUUAGGAGCAAACCACUUGGAGAUCACCAGUAGAAAUCUUAGUUUCCAUGACGUUUUGAAACUUCGUCAUUGAACAGACCACAUCUAUGAUGAAAAUCCCAAGUUCAUCUUAGAUCAUCGGUGGUAGCCCUUAGACAAUACGAAACUAUGACAAAAGCAAAACGAGCAUCAUAGAACAACAUCUCACAUCUUCACAAAAUGGUGCGCCAUCAACAUCUCCUAUUUGUGACGACUGUGACUCGUCAUAGAACCGGUGUGCCACAUGUAGAGGUUGGACCCAUAGGUCCACAUGUGAUGACAGAGGUACGAGUAAUUACAAGACAUAGUUUGAAAUAAACUUAACAGUGCAGGUUAGGCAGAGGUUCUAGGAUUUUAAACAUAAACGGUUCAGGUGGGAGAUGAGCAUUUAAGAUUUCUUCUAAGGGUAUUGUGAGACUCAUAACAAUACCCUAGUUUUUCGGGGCUUCCUCCUCGGUGGAUUCCUGCGGUGCCUCUGAAAAUAGCCACAAGGGAUAACCCUGAGUACGAGGUACUCAGCAAGGCUUACCCGACUAACCAAUAUAAUAGUUUUUCUUGGAACUAUAUGAUAGCUUUUUCAGUGUGCUUGGCUGACACAUUUUUGGCAAAAGAGCUUACUAAGAGUGAGACCUUAGCUUUGUCUUUUAUUUUGAUUAAGUUAUUAUCUAACCAUUCUAAAUGAUGACCAAAGAUUAAUUGCAAACAACAAGGUGUUAAGUCAUACACCAAAACAUUAGUGGAGAGAUAUAGCAUUCAUGAAUUUAUGCUACGAUACUCAACAGUGAUCAAGUGCAUUCAUAACCGAGAAUUGCGGCGAUCCGGAUCAAAUUACAUCCUGCAGGAGAGUACCCUGAUCACCAGCUAUAUACGACUGUCCAGGUCGUACGUAACGACUUUUCGAUUAGCAAAUCCAAUGAUUGGGAAUAAGACUACCCGAACCUAGGGACGCACCCCCACAUGGGACCCCACGUCUGGCCUGAUCACCUUGUGAGUUUCAGGCUACGCCCCUGCCAAUCUCCAGAACGUCAAGCGCGGGUACGAAGUAUUCCCGAUCAGAGGGUUUACUAACCUACUGGGCUUUACUGGUCCCAUACCCAGUAAGUGAUCAGAUGUCUUUCACUUGAUCAAAGGUUAAGACAACGGAUCGGGCCUUAACCAAAUUAAUCUAGCAGAAAGAACUACAUCCUUAGCUCUUGUCUGCUUCUUAUCUUCCAAGUUAUCUUUCCGUAACUAACAUGCCUGACUCAAUAUUUACCUUAAGGUUCGGUAACCAAUUAUUUAAGCAACUAAGCAUUUCUAGACUUGGGUUAUUUACUAAAUGUUUGAACAAGUGGCAAAGAUGUCCUUAAAACAAGGUAGGAUAAUGCACAAGAAUGGGUUUCAAGCAACUCCUGGACUUAGUGCAUACAUAUAGCAAAUAACCGAUAAUUGGACACAUGAAAUAUCGACUCUAAAAUAAUAGGUAUAAUUCAUCGGGGCUUGCCUUGUUCUAUAAAAAGGUUAGCACUAUCUGAAGGAUUGGCCUCGCAGGGAACCAACUCAAAGACCUCUUCAAACUCCGGAGAUCCUUCUGAAAAUUCCGAGAAAUCUCCUUCUGGUGCUUCGGUGUCUAUGACAAAGCAUAUGCAGGGGUUAGGAAUGCAACUUUUUUGAAUACAAGACUCUACAACUUUCCUUUAUGAUAAAGUUGCAAGCCAACAAGGACUAUAUAAUUUAUCAUGAUAAAGUUGCAAGCCAACACACAAAAACCCGAAAAGAUUAGCCCAACAAUUUUAUUUCCUUAACUAACCUUACUUAGGGCUUUUUCUUUUAUUUUUAGAAGAUAUUAUAAUUAUUGUCUAAUAUUGAAACCUAAUUUCCUAUGAGUUAACAAUAAUUUGUGAUUAUGAAAUGUUAUUCCAUAUUUUAUGUAUUUAUUAAGAUUAAGCAUUUAUUUAAUUACCUUAAAAGAAAGGCAUUAAAUAAAUACCCAAUUUUUUAUUAUUUUUCCUAGGGUAUAAAAAUUUUAAUGCAUAAAGGAAAAUAAAACAAUCCUAACAAAAUUGGUUUCACUAAUUUUGGACACCCCUAGAAAUUUCUGUGAUUUAAAUGGUGAGAUUCGGAUUUAAUCUAUUUAUUAUACAAAGGAAAUCUAACUUUUUCCCGAAAAACUCCCUGGCCUACUUUUCUCACACGCCGUAACUCUACCCCCUCUCUCUUACGCUGGGCCCGCGGCUUGGACCCACCUCCUUCUCCUAUUUAUCUUACCCACCGGCCUCUUAAACCUCUACUGGGCCUACUGGGCCAUUUUCUUUUUCUUUUUCUUUUCUCCAACCGGCGACGGCCCAACGGCCCACCUCUCCUCUUCCUUCUUUUCCACGAAGCCGGCCUGCUGGACCACCUGGGCCUCCGGCCUUUUCUUCGAACGGCCCUUCCCGCACCGGCACUUGGGCCGGCUGGACUCUAGGUCCACUUAAGCCAUCGCCCGACCUGCCUCCUCCCUCUCCUCUCCUCCCUGACGCACGGGCCCGCGGUACCAGAACCUUCUUCCUCCUCCCGCCAAAACCUGAGCGUAACAGGGGGCGGUGCGGCUCGCCGGCCGGCGCCCCACCGGCGACGGGGCUAGGCCGGGGAAGCAUCCCCAUGCCCUAGCGCACCCGUGCGCGGCGGUAACUCCCCAGGAGGUGGCCGGAGCCACUCCCUCCACGGCGGCGGGCGGCGGCGCCUACGGCCGGUCGUGGCUAAGCACGACGACGGCUCGUCCUACCCCGACAACUUCCUCUACGGCUUCCUAGUGCCCUAGACGUCUACCUAAAACUGACCACAAGGAACAACAGCGACAGCAAAGGGGUGCUCACCGUGAGCAGGAGGUGCGGCGGUGGAUGGAAACAAUGGCGAGUAUGGGUACUCCGGCAAGGAUGCUGGGCAACAAGUUGACCGGGGUGUAGCUGGGGUACCUGUGGAGGAGUAGGCGAGAGGAAUCGAUGGGAGGUGAGGUGUGGCAGUGGAAUUUGGUCGGCGGCAGUGGCUUGACAGAGAGGGCGGCGGCGGUAAAAGAACAGACGGUGAAAGUGGUGGCGGGAGCGGUAGAUAUACGAAAGACUUACCGCGCGCAUGGGCGACACCAUGGCGUAGUGCUAGGCUUGCGUGGUGAGGAGGUGGCGUAGUUGCUGUGCUGGCGGUCGACCGAGAACGCCGGCGGCGACACGUCGGGCUCGGCUCUAUCACCCCCCUUUCUUAUUUUUCUGAUGCCCGAAAUUCAGAUCCAAAUCACGGUCGAUUUUGAAUCCGACGGCUCCACGGUCCUUUAAGCAAUGUUGUAGAUAAACUUGAACUCUCCAAGUUUUAUUUUUGCUCUGACCUGAGAUAAACAUCCUAACAUAGUUGAAUUUUGAAUUCCUUUCCCCCUUUUAACUGAAUCACUCUGAACUUGAAGUUCAGUUCGUCAGUCCUUUGAGCAGAGUCACUUACCCGACUUUGAAAAGACUUUCAGUGGCCUAAUUCAAUUCUUUUUAAUCCAACUACUGACCAAUCAUACUCUACAACCUUCAGUGAUUCCAUUUUGCCCAUAAUCACCUAUGCUUCUUGCACCACAUUUUCCUGAAUUUGGCUCCAAACAUAGGCACUUACCACUGGUUUCAGACUUAGAAAAAUGACAACUUCAGUGUCUUGACCGAAAAUGGCAGAGUGCCAACUUUAGGCCUCAAUUUGAAUUUGUUUCCUUUGUGAUUCUUGAUCAACAACACCCAGGUAUUCUUGUCCAAGGUCCAUACUUCAGUAUUGUAUAGUUGUCUUGAUCCCUUUAUUUGAAAAAUUCGGCAGAAAUUAAUUUCCAAAAUGGACUCUGGUGCUGUUUUUCUGAAAUUCCUAUUGUCGGAUGGUGAAUAGUGCUUUUCUAUUUUGAUUUCUUCUUUUGGUUUUCUUGAAAUAUUUAGGUCCAGAUUUUGUCCCUAGUCUUAAUCUUCAAGUUCUAAACACCCUUAUCCUUCCAUUCCAUAUUUUUGCCAAAUUUUUCUGAAUUUCGAAUUCAAAAUUCAAAUUUCGGUCAAAUUUGACUCGAAUUUGAUUCUUAGCCAAUUUUCUUCUCCUUUUCUUCAUGAUUUGCUUCUAUUUCUUCAGAAUUACUUUGAUGACUAAAUAGCAGGUGUUACAGCCUCUCCCCCUUAAUAGAAUCUCGUCCUGAGAUUCCAGGGGUUAAAUUCUUGGGUUUGAAAAUGGAAAGGAAACUGCGUCAGGUCAAAUAUCUUUCUCUUUUCUGUACAAGGAAAGUGAAGUGGUGGCUUUUGUUCAUCUGCUCCUGAUAGUUCCAAAUAGCUCAGGAUAUUUAGACUCUAGGUCUUCAGCCUAUUCCCAGGUAGCUUCAUCUGGAGUAUGAUUUUUCCAUUGUACCUUGUAAAACGUAAUACUCCGAGUUCGGGUAUCUCUUGUCUUUUGAUCCAGAAUUUUAAUAGGCCUUUCUUCGUAGGUUAGGUCUGGUUCGAGCUCAAUUUCUGGAUCUUCUAAAAUCUCUUCUGGAACUCUUAAGCACUUCUUAAGCUGAGAUACAUGAAAUACAUCAUGUAUAGAAGUAAGUUGGUCUGGUAAUGAUAGCUUGUAUGCUACCGGACCCUUUCGUUCCAGAAUUUUGUAAGGACCAAUAUACCUUAGGGCUAAUUUACCCUUUAUCCCAAAACGUUGCACUCCUUUCAUCGGGGAUACCUUCAAGUAUACAAAAUCUCCAAUAUGAAAUUCCAAAAACCGUCUCCUUUUAUCUGAAUAACUCUUCUGUCGAGACUGGGCUAUUUCCAAAUGUUUACGAAUUUUCCGGACCUUUUCUUCAGUUUCCAUAACCAAAUCUGAUCCUAAAUGUGUCCUUUCUCCUACUUCCGACCAAUUCAAGGGGGUUCGGCAUCUUCGACCAUACAAGGCUUCGAAAGGUGUCAUUUUAAUACUAGCUUGAUAGCUAUUAUUAUAGGAGAACUCGGCUAGGGGCAAACAUUCGUCCCAUAGCUUAGGACACAUGCUCUUAACAUGUCUUCCAAGAUUUGGUUGACCCUUUCUGUCUGUCCUCCGGUUUGAGGAUGAUAGGCAGAGCUUCUGAUUAGAGUAGUGCCCAUAUCUUUUUGCAGUUGUUCCCAAAACCUAGAAAAAAACUGGUAGCCUCGAUCGGAGAUAAUUGUCUUUGGUACUCCGUGCAAAGAUAUGAUCCGGGCUAUAUAGAUUUUGGCAUAUGUCGACACUGGAUAUGUAGUCUUGACGGGGAUGAAAUGGGCUGACUUAGUAAGUUGGAAUCAUACCCUUUUGAAGUAGUAGGCAAUCCAACUAUGAAGUCCAUGGAAAUAUCUUCCCACUUCUAGACAGGGAUUUCCGAAGGUUGAAGAAAACCCGCUGACUUUUGUAGUAUUGGUUUAACUCUCCGGCAGGUAUCGCACUCGGCUACAUAUCUUGCAAUUUCAGGUUUCAUCCUGGCCUACCAGAAUCUUUGCUUUAAAUCUUGGUACAUUUUGUUGCUUCCGGGAUGGAUGGCGAGCUUAGAUAGAUGUGCUUCAUCUAAGAUCAAUUUUCUUAGGCUUUCAUUCUUAGGAACUACUAUCCUUUUCUUGAAAUAUAAUCCUCCAUCUUCUUCUUGAGUGAGUUCGGGAAUCUUUCCUUCUGUCCUUCGUUGAUAAAGCACCUUGAUCCAAGGAUCUUCUUUUUGGACUGUUAUGAUUCUUCCCUUUAAGGUGUCUUGCACAAUAAUGUUCUGGAGGGCACCUUGUUUUACUAUUUUCAAGCUUAAAUCUUCCAACUCUUCACAUAGGGUCUUAAGGUUAGACUGAAUAGUAGUACAGUGGCAUUGGGCCUUUCUGCUCAAAGCAUCAGCCACCACAUUAGCCUUACCAGGAUGAUAGUGGAUUUCUAGCUUAUAAUCUUUAAUUAGCUCCAACCACCGUCUCUGCCUCAUGUUCAAGUCCAUUUGAGUGAAAAUGUACUUUAAGCUCUUAUGGUCAGUAAAGAUACGACAUUCACUACCUAAAAGAUAGUGCUGCCAUAUCUUUAAUGCAUGGACUACAGCAGCAAGCUCUAAAUCAUGGGUAGGGUAAUGCUCUUCAUGACGCUUCAGUUGACGAGAAGCAUAAGCAAUAACUCUACCGUCUUGCAUAAGAACACACCCUAUCCCUGUCCCUGAGGCGUCACAGUACACGUAAAAGGGCUUCUCUAUAUCAGGUUGAGCUAGCACUGGGGCUGUAGUCAGUAGCUUCUUUAGGGUUUCAAACGAUUCUUCACAUUCGGGGUUCCACCCAAAUUUCACUUCUUUCUUUAACAACUCCGUGAUUGGUUUGGAAAUUUUUGAGAAGUUGGGGAUGAACCUACGGUAAUACCCGGCCAUUCCCAAGAAACUUCUUACUUCAUGUAUAGAGGUUGGUGAUUUCCAAUCCAAUAUGUCCUUGACUUUUCCGGGAUCUACUUCAAUUCCUUUUUCGGACAGUAUAUGCCUAAGGAAUGGAACUUUCUUUAACUAGAAUUCACAUUUGCUGAAAUUGGCAUAUAACUUGUGUUCCCAGAGUCUAUUUAGAACAAUACGCAGCUGUUGCACAUGUUCCUCUUCAUUUUUAGAAAAGACGAGGAUAUCAUCUAUAAAGACGACCACAAAUUUAUCUAAUUCUGGCAUGAACACCGAAUUCAUGAGGUACAUAAAAUGCGCUGGGGCAUUUGUCAGUCCAAAAGACAUAACCAAGUACUCAUACAAUCCAUAUCGGGUUGAGAAGGCUGUUUUAGGUAUGUCUUCGGGUUUUAUCUUAAUCUGAUGAUAUCCUGACCGAAGGUCAAUUUUUGAAAAGACCUUGGCUUCAGCUAGUUGAUCAAAUAACAAGUCAAUCCGUGGCAACGGAUACUUGUUUUUAAUGGUUACUGCAUUCAAAGGGCGGUAAUCCACACACAACCUUAAUGUGCCAUCUUUCUUUUUAACAAAUAGUGCAGGGCAGCCCCAUGGUGAAGUGCUAGGUCGGACAAAACCUUUAUCUAGCAAUUCUUGGAGUUGAACUUUUAAUUCUGCUAACUCCUUAGGUGGCAUCUGAUAUGGCCUUCUCGAGAUAGGAGCAAUGCCAGGUUCUAACUCAAUAGUAAAUUCUACCGCUCUAUCAGGCGGUAGUCCAGGAAGAUCUUCUGGAAACACAUCUACAAACUCAUUCACCACAGGAAUAGAUUCUAGAGUCACUGCUCUAGUCUUUUUGACCAUCUGGUCCAAACAGGGAUGAGCAGGUAAUUGGAGCUCAAAAGGAUGGCCUUGGUCAUCUCUCAUACUAACGACCCGGUUAUCCAUAUUGAUUUGAACUUUAUGUUCCUUCAUCCAAUUUACCCCCAAAAUAAUAUCUAUUCCUUGAUCUUCCAGAAUUAAAGGAUAAGCACCCACCUUAUUUCCUUCUAAAUUCAAAAUCACAUUGUGAGCUACCUGACUUGUAUUUUGAGUAGCUCCAGUAGCUUGAAUAACAUAUUUGACAUUUAAGGUGUGCACUUCUAGUUGGUGUUGCUUAACAAACUUUCUACUUAUAAAAGUAUGUGACGCACCCGAAUCAAAUAAAAUCAUGGCAGGAUAAUCAUUGACAAGGUACAUACCUACCAGAAUAGGCACACCUUUCAGAAUCUCCUCCACAUUCAUAUAAUGAGCCUGCCCCGUCUUGGUAUUCAGAAAUUUGCGACGAACAAACUUCUGUCCGGUGCCUUGACCAGAGGUUUGAGCCCUCAAAUUCGCGUUUCCCCCAGCUUUGGGAAAACGGCAGUCCCGGGCAAAGUGUCCCGGCUUCCCACAGUUAAAACAAACCUGUGGAUUCCCCAGAGGAGUAGGGCUGCGAAAUCCAAGAGGUGGCGCACUUCCAGGACGAGGAGCAUUAAUAGGAGUUUUGACAUUCCAGGGCUAAAAUGGCCUCUGCUGAAAAGAAGGCCGAUACGCGGGUCGAGGAGGACCUCGGUAUACUACCUUCAUCCUCUGCGGGGCAUUCCCGAAGGUUCCAAAAGGAAUAUUCUUCCUCUUCAAGGAUUCUUCUUUCUUUAAAGUUUCAUCUAAGAUUCUCAUAUUUUCUUCUGCAGUAAUGGCUGUGCUUACCGCAGAACUAUAAUCAGCAAAGGUGCAGGUAGACAACUUCUCCUGCAUUCGUGCAUUAAGCCCGCAAAGAUAACAGUCUCUUUUUCUGGACUCCGUGCAUACUGGGCCAAGUGAUCAAACUCAUUGGUGUAUUCCAGAAUGCUACGGGUCCCUUGCUGCAGCCCUAGGAAUUGCUCCAGCUUCAUUCGCAUAACACCUUCUGGCACAAACUGUGUUCGGAAGGCUUCCUUGAAGUUUUCCCAAGUAACUUCCCUUUCGAUCGGUUUCCUUGCCAAAUAACUGGUCCACCAGGUCCCAGCGGGACCUUGGAGUUGGAGUCCGGCAAACUCCGCCUUCUGGGUGGUAGUGCACUAGAGGAUCACCCGAAAUUUUUGCUCCAUCGUCUGAAGCCAUUCAUUAGCUUCUAGUGGGUGCUCAGCUCUUAGGAAUAUCGGAGGACGAGUUUCCAGAAACUGGGUGUAGGAUACACCACGUUCUGGGUCCCGUCGGUUUCCACCAUUGCCGGUGUUUUGCACAAUCAUCUGAAGCAGUCGAGCCUGUUCGGCUCCUGAAUUCAUGAGGCUGGCUAUGGCAUCAGCCAGCGUUGGGGCUCUAGGUAAGUUCUCCUCGUGGCCCCCUAACCCCGAAGCUCGAGGACCUCUCGGAUCCGUCAUGCUACCAAAAUCAAAUAGAGUAUUAAUAUCUAUGUUACAGUUUACUAACAGUUCCAUGUGCACGCUAGUAUUUCACACAUCACAGCAUGACUAUUGUAAUUACACACAAACCACACUUAUAUACAUGAUUAUUUAUAUUACAUGACUCGAAGUUACUUUUUACAAAACCACCAUACUACUCUGUCCACUACGUUUAUCUUACAUCAUAACAUCUCUUGGUUAAGAUCUUGCUUUAGCCGUCAUAGGGGUAGAUGCCUAGAUCUUCAGCAUUUAGUCCUAGCCGGGCUAUCGCAGCCUGCAGAACAUCCUGGUCCACCGUCAUCAAUGUCUGUCCCGGAGGAGUGACAGGUGGGGGCUGAUUUACUGAAUUCUCACUUUCCGACUCUGGCCCAGGGUCACUUGAAGUAUAGGAGGUAUAUGAUGCAGAGGUACUAACUCCAGAAUUCCCCUCCAUUUCUUCUAGGUCUUCUUCUUCUUCCCCGCCUUCCUGCUCGGCUUCACCCCACUGCUGCAUAGGUCCAUAGCCUUGUGGAUCUAACCCGUAUGCAUUGGCAUCGGCCCAGGCAAAGUGAUGGUUUUCCAUUGGAGCUUCACCCAAAUCAUCUCCCAUGUCGACAUCAAAACCUUCUAAAUUUUCGUGAGCGUAUAAAUCGAUCUCGGGAGCUGCAGGUGGAGCAAUAUCACCCUCCACUCCUACAACGUCCACCAACUGAUCUGCUUCUUCUGGGUUUGGCGGUUGGGGUUCUUCCGGUGGUGGAGGCGGUGGAACAUUGACUAUAUUCUGAGCAGGUACCUGAGCCUGCAUUUCCUCCAAAGCCAGACGAAGAGAUAAGAUUUCGUCCAGCUGCUGGAACCUUUCUACCUCGAGCCUGUUAACAUUAGAUUCAACUUCUUCUCUUGCCCUGUCUGCCAUAUUCCUACUGGCAUCCAUGAAUUCCUUCAUUGCCCUAAGCUUCUCUUCAUAUUCAUCUAUCCUUCUAGACUGUUCUCUCAUGAUCUUCUCCAUGUCAUGUUCCCUUGCUAAUGCUGCUUUCUUGUACAACUCUUUAUCAUGUUUGGCACCCAUCACCUCCAUCUUGACAUCUUCAUUUCUCUUCCUCUGAUUAUAAUAUUCCCUGAUGCAAGACUGAUGCAGGUUGUACAUGGCCGUCAUAUAGUCGGAGGCAGCAGCAACCAAAACAUCAUGCUCCACGCGAGACGAAUUCUUCAGGGCUUUAAUCCUUCUCUUCCAAAUUCCAUCAUCUUGAUGCUUUAUAGGAUAGAAUCGAGUAGAGAUUGACCCUAUUUCUACUUUGUGUUUCUCACAUAGGUCUGUGAGAGCGGUCAUAGCUGCCCUUUCAUUUGUAUCAUUAAACUCGAAGCCCGACUCCAUCACUUCAUCAAGACGCCAAUUGGGGUUGGUGUCUUCAUCCGGGAUAUGAACAUAAACAGUACAACACUGCUUAUGACACGUGUCCUCCUUCCUCCAAUAGUACUCCGGAGGAUUAUGGAAGCCUAACUCCUGCAGUAUUUUCCAUAACAGCUGCACAAACCCUGGCUUGUCCAGGUAAUGUCCUCGGGUCCAUCCGUCCUGGUCUGUGUAGCCUUCUUGGAACAUCCUAUAAAAGAAACGAGGUUACGUCUAACGGCACUCACCAAACCCAAAAGUUUUUAAAACAUGCUUAUGCAACAUGAUGCAACGACUCCUACAUACUCACAGACUCAUAUACACACUCGUAGAGAAAUUGGUGGCAUCGUAAUCUCUUCCUAAUAAUAUACUACCGAGUACUAGCGACACGUAGCAAACAGUUAGCAUCUGCAAAACAAACAACUGGUUAACACUACUGCCACCUGUGACUCACGUUUUCUUUAUUUAAAAUAGAGUCUCAGUGUUUAAAUGGUAAUAUCUGUUAAUUAUCCCAACCUAUGGCUCUGAUACCAGCUGUGGUGGAACCGUCCAACUUAAACUGCUUUAAAUGCGCCUAAUCGCUGCCGAUGCAGCAAUUAUCCGAGACGCACUUAAAACAGUAUAAGCCUGGUCGUCCAUCGAGUGUCCCUAGGACUCCUCGAAUGAUCCACGUCACGUCUUAUAGCCAUACAUCAGGAUUGUUUCUGCGAUGGGAAAGCAUCAACAAAUAUUACAUUUUUACAUACAUACAUGAGGUACGAGUUAUUACAAGACAUAGUUUGAAAUAAACUUAACAGUGCAGGUUAGGCAGAGGUUCUAGGAUUUUAAACAUAAACAGUUCAGGUGGGAGAUGAGCAUUUAAGAUUUCUUCUAAGGGUAUUGUGAGAUUCAUAACAAUACCCUAGUUUUUCGGGGCUUCCUCCUCGGUGGAUUCCUGCGGUGCCUCUGAAAAUAGCCACAAGGGAUAACCCUGAGUACGAGGUACUCAGCAAAGCUUACCCGACUAACCAAUAUAAUAGUUUUUCUUGGAACUAUAUGAUAGCUUUUUCAGUGUGCUUGGCUGACACAUUUUUGGCAAAAUAGCUUACUAAGAGUGAGACCUUAGCUUUGUCUUUUAUUUUGAUUAAGUUAUUAUCUAACCAUUCUAAAUGAUGACCAAAGAUUAAUUGCAAACAACAAGGUGUUAAGUCAUACACCAAAACAUUAGUGGAGAGAUAUAGCAUUCAUGAAUUUAUGCUACGAUACUCAACAGUGAUCAAGUGCAUUCAUAACCGAGAAUUGCGGCGAUCCGGAUCAAAUUACAUCCUGCAGGAGAGUACCCUGAUCACCAGCUAUAUACGACUGUCCAGGUCGUACGUAACGACUUUUCGAUUAGCAAAUCCAAUGAUUGGGAAUAAGACUACCCGAACCUAGGGACGCACCCCCACAUGGGACCCCACGUCUGGCCUGAUCACCUUGUGAGUUUCAGGCUACGCCCCUGCCAAUCUCCAGAACGUCAAGUGCGGGUACGAAGUAUUCCCGAUCAGAGGGUUUACUAACCUACUGGGCUUUACUGGUCCCAUACCCAGUAAGUGAUCAGAUGUCUUUCACUUGAUCAAAGGUUAAGACAACGAAUCAGGCCUUAACCAAAUUAAUCUAGCAGACAGAACUACAUCCUUAGCUUCUGUCCGCUUCUUAUCUUCCAAGUUAUCUUUCCGUAACUAACAUGCCUGACUCAAUAUUUACCUUAAGGUUCGGUAACCAAUUAUUUAAGCAACUAAGCAUUUCUAGACUUGGGUUAUUUACUAAAUGUUUGAACAAGUGGCAAAGAUGUCCUUAAAACAAGGUAGGAUAAUGCACAAGAAUGGGUUUCAAGCAACUCCUGGACUUAGUGCAUACAUAUAGCAAAUAACCGAUAAUUGGACACAUGAAAUAUCGACUCUAAAAUAAUAGGUAUAAUGCAUCGGGGCUUCCCUUGUUCUAUAAAAAAGUUAGCACUAUCUGAAGGAUUGGCCUCGAAGGGAACCAACUCAAAGACCUCUUCAAACUCCGGAGAUCCUUCUGAAAAUUCCGAGAAAUCUCCUUCUGGUGCUUCGGUGUCUAUGACAAAGCAUAUGCAGGGGUUAGGAAUGCCAACUUUUUUGAAUACAAGACUAUACAACUUUCCUUCAUGAUAAAGUUGCAAGCCAACAAGGACUAUAUAAUUUAUCAUGAUAAAGUUGCAAGCCAACACACAAAAACCCGAAAAGAUUAGCCCAACAAUUUUAUUUCCUUAACUAACCUUACUUAGGGCUUUUUCUUUUAUUUUUAGAAGAUAUUAUAAUUAUUUUCAAAUCUUGAAACCUAAUUUCCUAUGAGUUAACAAUAAUUUGUGAUUAUGAAAUGUUAUUCCAUAUUUUAUGUAUUUAUUAAGAUUAAGCAUUUAUUUAAUUACCUUAAAAGAAAGGCAUUAAAUAAAUACCCAAUUUUUUAUUAUUUUUCCUAGGGCGUGCCUCCGUGGCUCUGCCAGUCCUCAUCCUCGGGGGCUUGGAGCCUAUUUCAGGUUGGCGUGCCUCCGCGGCUCCGCCAGUCCUCAUCCUCGGGGGCUGGGCACCUAUUUCAGGUCAGCGUGCCUCCAAAACUCCGCCAGUCCUCACCCUCGAGGGUUGGGCGCCUAUUUUAGGAUGGCAUGCUUCCAUGGCUCUGCCAGUCCUCGUCCUCGGGGGCUAGGCACCUAUUUCAGGUUGGCGUGCCUCCGUGGCUCUGCCAGUCCUCAUCCUCGAGGGGCUGGACGCCUACUUCUGGUCAGCGCGCCUCUGUGGUUUUUCCUGUCGUCGUGUUUAGGCACUAGGAUCUGCUUCUCGGAUCAAUUUUUUCUUCUUUGACCAUUGGACCGAUUAUACUAAUUGCGUCAAUGCUCAAGGGCUACUCCUCUAGAGUGCGUCUUGUGACGCCCUCCAUUUCCUUCGCUUCAACCUACUAGAUGUCCGCCAUCCAUCAACUCGGCACUCUACUUCGCUCUGCGUGUUUGGCUCCAUGUUCGUUGGGAUUUUCUUCUUUUUUGAGCAUUGUGCAGCCUCUCCGUCACCAUGACGCCAUCAUAGCUUUAGUCAACUACAUUCCAAGCUUCGCUGUGAUGACCUCAAGUUCCUGUUUGCCUACACAUCGCUUGGGGGCUUGAGGGAUAUGGGUACCCCAUGGGUCCCCACUGACCAGGAUACUGGUCGGACUUGACAAGUAGGCCCGCCCGACCAAAACGUGCGGGCCAAGGAUUUGAAGAUACUUGGUGCACAAGUCAAUGAGGCUGGGAAAUUCAAAUCAGCCCGGAUAUUGCGGAUACGUAUUAUAAUCCAACUCAUAUCACCUUCCAUGUAACAACCGAGUAGAUUGGAUUCAAACCGACUUGUAACUCUAGGUCGUCAGUGUGGCGGAUCCGCUUCGGAUUUUCUUGAUUAGUCAUGAUUAAGCCGCCUAAUAUGCGACGCUCAUGCCUUAACCAAGUAAACACGAAGUGCCGUCGGAUUUCAUCCGAUUUAACCACUUGAACAGGACCGAAUAGCAAACCCACACGAAGGUGAGCGGUUCCAGAGAAUACAACAAGUCCACUGAGUUAACAAAUUAACCAUUUAGUUUGGCCAUAAAACAAUAUCAGAGUUUACAAGGUUCCGAAGAAAACAACAGAAGGUAAAACAGCGCACGGAAGCUACUUCGUCGGGGUCGGAUAUCCCUGGUGAGGCCAACCGGGACAUCAAUGAUCCCUCUCCUCGCCGUCCGAGGAGGGAUCCCACUCAACCGUCCAACUCGGAGGGAGUUGGAGCGGCCAAGUACCAGCAGAGAGAGGCUCAGAGGCAGCAACUUCACCUGAAAAAGAGGAGCCACAACAAGGCUGAGCUACUAAGCUCAACAAGACUGAACUGACAAGGAGUACGCUACUCCACCACUUCUAGACAUGCAAGGCCUUUUUUGCUGAGGGGUUUGUUUGCCAAAAGCGCUAGGUGUAUCCCUACUUUCAAGUUUUAGCUCAGGUUCUAAGUUCAUUAUCCGGUCUAAGUUUGCAACCUACUUCUAAACAGACAUAGAACCAACCAAGGUAUAUACAUCAUCAUCAAAACCAUGUCAUCAUCAGAUUCCUUUAUUACUCAGGGUGACAUAGCGAUCAAGCAGUCUCAAACUGUGAGAGGCAGAUGAAUUGAUUCGAGUUUCUUAACCAUGCAUGGCGAACCUAAUCUCACGACAUCCGCGCACCACAAGGGUCGCUUCCUAUGUUGGCCGUCCCCAUCAAUUCCCAGGCGCGUGUCAGGUCCAAACUUCCCUUGGCAUGCAAUGCUCCACAGUCCCGGUCUCUACCGUAUUGUGACCGCACUUGCACCCACAUGAUGCACCAUGGGAACCUCGUUCCAGGGACAGCAGGGGUAUAAGCCACGCCCUAGUUCAAUCAGGUACUAGGCUUCCCCAUCCCAUACUAGGUAUGAGAUUAGUACUUUCAAAUACUUGAUCACGAACACCACCACUGUCGGGCCUUAGCAAGUUUCAUAGACAGACGGGGCGAUCAACCGACCACCAAAGAGUUACCCAAAACCCUGCCCCAUCCAUCGUCCUUAUAGUUGUAACAGAAGGGAAACAACCAACUCCUACAGCUCGCGAGUGACAGGAAAUCACUCGGCUUUUACCGUUUCCUAAUUAAGCAAAGCAUCUACUCGGUCCAACAACUAGUGAUCAGAUCAAGGGAUCUAAGUCAUGCCUCUAUGGUUCCAAACAACUCCUAUACGUAAAUGCACAAGCAUGUUAAACAAGGCAUGCGCAAGUUUGGUAAAACAUAGGGGAUUCAUGCAUCCGGGGCUUGCCUUCGAGCAAGGAGGAGGGAAGCUGCUCGUCUGCUUGGGCGGCUUCAGCUUCUGGAGGCAGGAGCUCGGCUACACCUUCAUCUUCUGGCGCCGGGUGCAGCUCGUAGAAGCCGUCGGCGAGACGCAGCUCUACACGAAUGCAAUGCAUUGGUUAGCAUUUAGACGGUUAUUUUCAACAGCAACACUUGCAAGUUUGAGCCCAGAAACUUGCGGCAAGUUACAGGAGGGUGGGGAGGUUCGAUUGAGUUGGUGGAGAUCAAGAUAUAAGAGUCGGAUGGGGAGGAACUUAUGAUCUGACCCUUAAUCUAGAGGAAUAGAUGUGCUAGGGGUCCUCAGACGUAACGCUGAAAAGUCUCCAAGUUUUAUACAUACACCCUCGGUUCAAGGAAAAAGAUACAGCCAAGCCCUCGGGCGAGGCGGAGAAAGGUCGGCGGAACAAGACAGGGUCGGGCGAGACGGAACCGGGGUCGGGCGGAUAGGAGGGGUCGGACGAGGUGAACAGGGGUCGGUAGCUUACCUGCAUCUUACAGAUGAGGCUUGGGCGGAAAGACUAAGGCGUGGGACAGCGGUGAGGAUGUCCGGUGGUACUCCGGCGGCGGAGGUGCUUCUGGUGGAUCACAAGCAAGCUCUUGUGCAGCACAGGAAACAGUGGCUGGUGGAUUGGGGGAAGGUGGUGUUUGAGCAGAGAGGAGGGUUCCUCAGACUUAGGUGGUGGCGCUGUGAGCACGAACAGGGAGCAAACGAGAGGGCAGCGAUGGCAAGGGGAACUCCGGCGGGGCUCCGGCAUUCCAUUUUAUAGCUGCGCGGAAGAGGGAAGGGGGAGCGGCACGAACGCCGGGGAAGAGCGAUGGAGUGCUCUACCUUCGCGAUGAUUGAGUGACGAGGGCGGUGGAGCAGGACUUCGGGGACGACACCGGCGGUCAUUGGGCACCGAUGUCAGGGCGGCGCAGGCGCGGGUUUGCCGGUGGUUGAGAUUUGGCAGAGGUGAGCGUCGUCGUGCGGUGGAUCUGAUGGAAGUGUCGGGGAAACGGCGCUAGAAAUGAGGGCGCACAGGUGAGAAGACAGGCGGCUGCGGUCGCGCGGGCGAGCGUGGAGCAACAGAUUGUCGGGGCGGAGCUUCUGACAAGGCGGAAAAGGAGCUGUCGCUGCCGCGGUCUGGGUUGGCGGAGGAGGAAUCGUCGCGUAGCGAGGACCGGGGCGGCGCGACUGUGGAGGGUGACGAAAAAGACGGGCGGCAUCGGGCUCUGCAGCCGGGAUCUGGUGAUGUGAUGAUGGGUGCGGGAGGCGAGGUGCUGCAGAAAGGGUGGCAAAGGAGCUUCCGCCGCGAUUGGGGAAGGGGGCGCAAGAAUCCAUCCGGUCGUGGCCGGCGACGAGGCGGAGCGGCGGGCGUCGGAGGAGUUGAGCCACGCGGCUAGGGAACUCUGAAGCGGGCAUGCAACUCGAGUGCGCCUGUCGCGGGAGAUCUGGGAGAAAGAUCUCGUGGGUCCACCGGUCAGCUUCGGUGGUCCACGGCUCAGAUUGAAGGGAGGCGUUGUGGGAAGACUUCGAAAGAUCCGGCAGUGGGUUGGGGGUCGGCGGGGUCGGAACUGGGGGAAACACGGCGAGGGGUCGGAUCGCAGGGGGUCGGGAGAUCUGGAGGUUGAGCACUUAGGCUUGGUAAACUGAGGCAGGUGAUCAGGCACUCGGAUUAAGAUUAACGCGAAGGAUUUUAAUCGAGGUCGUUACAGCCUACCCCCCUUAAGAAGAAUCUCGUCCCGAGAUUCGGAUGUAGAAGCAACUGGUGGGGGUGUGUAGCCCUUACCUCCAUGGCUGGAAAGAAAACCUGGGAAGUGCUUGUUCAAGUACUCUUCUGUUUCCCACGUUGCUUCAUCCUCCAUGUGGUUUCUCUAGAGGAUCUUGUACAUUUUGACCACUUGGCGUCGGGUGCGCCUCUCUUUCUGGUCAAGGACCUUGGCCGGGUACUCUGCAUAGGUUAGGUCAGGCUCGAUUUGAAGUUGCUCCUGUUCUAAGAUCUCGGUUAGGACCUGGACACAUCUCUUCAGUUGAGACACAUGGAAAACAUCGUGUAUGGCCGAGAGCUGUUCUGAGAGUUGGAUCCGAUAGGCAAUGGGUCCACAAAUUUCCACAAUCUCAUAUGGGCCAAUGUAACGGGGAGCCAAUUUCCCUUUCACUCCAAACCGUUGCACUCCUUUGGUUGGGGAAACUCGAAGAUACACAUGAUCACCAAUGUCAAACUGCAGGGGCCUUCUUCUUCUAUUGGAGUAACUCUUCUGUCGGGAUUGGGCAGCCUUGAGAUUUACCUGAAUUACCUUCACUUGCUCUUCGGCUUCUACCACUAAGUCAGGGCCAUAAACUUGUCUCUCUCCCGCUUGGGACCAUUUCAAUGGUGUCCGGCAUCUUUGUCCAUACAAGGCUUCAAACGGUGGCAUCUUCAAACUGGCUUGGUAGCUAUUGUUGUAGGAGAACUCCGCCAAUGGCAGGCACUUGUCCCAAUUUUUGUCAUAGUGGAUGACACAAGCUCUCAACAUGUCUUCAAGGAUCUGAUUGACUCUUUCGGUUUGACCAUCGGUUUGAGGAUGAUAGGUUGAGCUACGAAUGAGUUUGGUGUCCAUGGAUGCUUGCAGCUGUUCCCAAAAGCGUGCUACAAACUGAACUCCUCAAUCAGAGAUGAUGGUCUUAGGCACACUGUGUAGGGAAACUAUGCGGUCGAGGUACAGCUCUGCAUACUGCUUGACCGUGUGGGUGGUGUGGACAGGAAGGAAGUGGGCGGUCUUGGUCAGACGGUCCACGAUAACCCAAAUGGAAUCAUGUCGCUGCGACGAAAGGGGCAGUCCAACAAUGAAAUCCAUGCUGAUAUCUUCCCAUUUCCAAGAGGGAAUAGGUAGGGGCUGUAGAGUACCUGCUACCUUUAGAUGACUGGCCUUGACGUGUUGGCAGGUGUCACACUUUGAAACAUACCGGGCAAUUUCCGGCUUCAUUCCGCUCCACCAGAAAGUUUGACGGAGAUCAUGAUACAUCUUAUUGCUGCCUGGGUGGAUUGAGAACUUGGAGAGAUGAGCUUCAUCUAGGAUCUGCUUCCUCAAGUUGGGGUCGGCUGGUACAACCAGUCGGUUUCCAUAAUACACUUUUUCAGUUUCAUCCUGUCGAAACUGCUUAUAUCCUUCCUCCUUCAAGGAAAUCUUCCUGGUGAUCCGCCUUACUUCCUCAUCCUCCACUUGUGCUGACCUUAUUUGGUCUUCCAAAACAGACUCAAGGGCGAUGUGGCCGAGGGUUCCAUGGGAAACAAUUUCCAAACUGAGUUUUCCCAUCUCAUGACACAAAGUUUCGGUGAAGGUUGUUGCCAACAAGCAGUUGCAACAGGGCUUGCGGCUAAGAGCAUCGACCACCACAUUGGCCUUGCCAAGAUGAUAGUGCACUUCCAAAUCAUAGUCUUUUAUCAACUCCAACCAUCUUCUUUGGCACAUGUUGAGGUCGGCUUGGGUGAAGAUAUACUCGAGGCUCUUGUGGUCGGUGUAGAUGUUGCAGCGGGUGCCCAUCAGAUAAUGUCUCCAUAUCCUUAAGGCAUGGAUCACUGCUGCCAACUCAAGAUCAUGGGUUGGGUAGUUCAGCUCAUGAGGUCGUAACGCCCGUGAGGCAUAGGCAAUGACUCGGUUGUCUUGCAUAAGAACACACCCAAGUCCAGUGCCAGAGGCGUCACAGUACACGUCAAACGACCUAGAGGGGUCGGGUUGAGCCAAAACUGGGGCUGUGGUCAGUAAGCGCUUUAAGGUUUUGAAGGCUUCUUCACAUUUGUCGUUCCACACAAAUCUGACCUCUUCCUUCAGCAACUCUGUCAUCGGCUUAGCUAUCUUGGAGAAGUCCGGCAUGAAACGCCGAUAGUAGCCUGCCAGUCCAAGGAAACUUCGGAUCUGGUGCACUGAGGCAGGAGGCUUCCAGUCCAUGACUUCCUGUACCUUGCUGGGGUCAACGGCUAUGCCAUCCUUAGAGAUAGUGUGUCCCAAAAACUUGACACUAUCUAACCAGAAUUCACACUUGGAGAACUUGGCAUAGAGCUGAUGAUCUCUCAGCCGUUGGAGAACUACGCGAAGAUGGUUGGCAUGUUCUUCUUCGCUCUUCGAGUACACCAGGAUAUCAUCAAUGAACACCACUACAAACUUGUCCAACUCGGGCAUGAACACCGAGUUCAUGAGGUACAUGAAGUAUGCGGGUGCAUUGGUGAGUCCAAAAGACAUGACCAGGUACUCGUAGAGUCCAUAUCUUGUGGAGAAGGCAGUCUUAGGGAUGUCACAUGGUCGGAUCUUGAUUUGGUGAUAACCUGAACGAACAUCGAUCUUGGAGAACACUCUAGCUCCAGCUAACUGAUCGAACAGGAUAUCAAUGCGGGGGAGUGGGUGCUUGUUUUUGAUAGUCACCGCAUUGAGAGGUCGGUAGUCUACACACAUGCGUAGACUGCCAUCCUUCUUCUUCACAAACAGGGCCGGGCAACCCCAGGGUGAUGCACUGGGUUGGAUGAAACUUUUUUCCAACAGAUCAUGCAACUGGGUCUUCAACUCGGCCAGCUCAGCUGGUGGCAUCCGAUAGGGUCUUUUGGAGAUAGGGGCGGUGCCGGGGAUCAACUCUAUGGCAAACUCCACGUCUCUAUCGGGCGGCAUGCCGGGGAAGUCCUCUGGGAACACAUCCGGGUACUCAGAGACAACAGGGAGGCUUUCUAGCCGGGCUUGCGAUAGAGGGUACGCACAGGGAAGUGCGGACUUAGGAUGUUUCAAGAACAGGGUAGAACUGCCAUGAAAGGGCGAGUUGAUGUGGAGGGUUCGGGCAGCUGGGUCUAGAACCACUUGGUGUCUGGUCAUCCAGUCCAUUCCAAGGAUGAUAUCUAUUCCUUCCAGGUCAAGGAUGAUAAGAUUUUCCUUAAAAAGGUUUUGGCCCAGCUGAAUAGGUGCAUUUGACACUCAUCCUAUCAGAUGUGAUUAUUCCACCCGGGGUGGAUAUUCUAAAAGACCCUCUGGUUUGGCAUUCUUGUAACCCACACUUGUCACGGGUCUUUCUCCCAAUAAAACUAUGGGAAGCUCCUGAGUCAAACAAAACCAAAGCUGAAAAACUGUGAAUCAGAAAGGUACCCGUCAUUAUCGGCACACCUUCAGGAAGCUCUGCUGCGUGGGUGAAGUUCAGUCGACCCUGGCGAACUUGCACCUUGGGCCUUUUCCCUUUGUUGAGCGUUGCAUUGCUUUGCCUGGGGCGCGGGCUCUGAUUUCUGGGACAGUCCUUGGCGAAAUGCCCCACAUCGCUGCAGGCAAAAUAGCGGUUACCCGUUGCAGGGCGUGGGGGUGGCGGCAGGGUUGGCUGGGGCACCUGUGGUUGGAAACCAAGAAAACGGGGCGCUGCUGCUGGCGGGGGUCGGGCAAUCCACCUUCCCAACUGCUGGGGUCGGUUGGGCACCUGGGGUGGAACCAUUCUGAAACGCUGCGCAGGUGGGCUGGGCGUUGGCAGUGGGGCUUUCCUCUUCCUCUCGGCUGCCAGAGCCUUCAUGCAGUCCUCUUGUGAGAUGGCCAGGUUAACCAACUCAUUGUACGUAUCCACCCUUAUCGGGUUUAACCUUUCUCUGAGCUCCAAGCUCAGCCCUCUGCGGAAUCUGUUCCGCUUCUUCUCGUCGGUGUCCGCGUGAUAUCCGGCAUAACGACACAGAUCGUUGAAGGCUUGAGCGUAGUGUAACACAUCUCGGUUUCCCUGGGUAAGAGCUAGGAAUUCAUUGAGCUUGCGCUCCAGGAGACCGUCCAGAAUGUGGUGUGCUCUGAACGCUGUCUUGAACUCGUUCCAGCUGACGAUAUGGUCGGCUGGCAACAUGGCGUGGUAGUGAUCCCACCAUAGCCGGGUGGAACCACGUAGCUGCUGAGCUGCAAACCGGGCGUUAUUGUGGUCGGGGCACUGAGCGGUGAGAAGCUCGAACUUGGAUUCGAUGGUGCGAACCUAGGCGUCUGCAUCGAGCGGGUCUUGGGUCUUCUGGAACAGUGGGGGCUGCGUCCCCAAGAAGUCUUUAUAACGAGCAACAUGAGGUUGCUGCUGAGCCCUUCCACCAUGGGGUUGCUACUAUUGUUGCCCUUGUACCAGAUGUCUCAGCAGCUCGGUUUGAGCCGCUAAGAUUGCCUCUAGUGGAGACGAGGGUGGGGGUGGGGGAAGAUCCUGUCUUUGCUCGCUGCUGCUGGGCACAGAACCAGAUCUGGUGCGAUGCGCCAUCUGCAAGAGUUAAUGUUCCAUUAAAUUCAUAACCUUAGAAGUAUUCCAACAGAUGGGAACGCACAUGCUAACUCCUCAAUACGACUCGGGCCACAAGGCAACCCAACACAGCUUUAUAAAGGAGACACACACUUCUUCUUGCCAUUCUAGUUAGCAGCCAUUUCAGCUCUGCACAUGACUUUGGGCGAACCCUAACCAGAUUCUAGGGGUCCCAUUAUGUCUGACCUUAGACCAAGGGGUCGGGCUAGGCGAACAACUCAAGAAAACGGGACCGGCCAAAACGAACCACAAAAAGGGGUCGGAAGAGGCGGAGAACUGCCUCGAGGGGUCAGGCGCAUCCAAUCUCGUGACCCGGGGUCGGCCAAACUUGGACAGACCCACAGAAAAUGGCGUGUGUGGUCACAGCACAACUCACAUGGUCUGACAUUCCAACGUUCUGCAAAGAGUCAAAGGUCAAACUCAGGAUCUGAUUUCACUGGGAUCUUUUUACAAAGGUGUUCUGAAACACAAGGAGUACUCAACUCAAGGCUAACCUAUUACAGGACUAUCCAAAUUUUAGGCUGCCGAGGAGUACAACAAAAGAAUGGGUUCCCUACAACUCUCCAUCUACGAGGGAACACUGUGAGUUGGAGAAGGGGUGUCGUCCUCUUCAAUGUCCAUGCUGGACGCUUCCUCAACCUCCUCAGGGUCUUCCUGAGCUUCUAGCUGCAUCUGGAGGGCAUGCAUGUCAUCGAGCUCGGCGUGAUGCUCGUCUAGAUGAGCAUUAGCAACUGCCAGCUCCAUUUCUACUUCCAUCUUUUCCUCUGACAGCUCGAUCAUGCCGUCCACCAAGUCGGCUACUUCUCCCUCAAGCUCAGAGAUUCGGUCCUGCAUGUCGUGGAUUUGAAUGCCUCGUUGGAUGAGCUGAUAUGUUUGGCCCACCAUGUCUCUUCUGGCGGCCUGGAGGUGUCCUUGGGUAUCCGCGGCGAUCCGAGCAAGGAUAGCCAUGGCUCGUCCUUGGAGCUCAAUCAGCCGAUAUAGGGCUGACAUUCACCAGAUAUUGGUGGAGAUAGUGACCAUUGAGUAGGAGGUGGCCAGCACCUCGAUGUUGCUGACGCGGUCGAGCCACGCCGGGUCCAACCGGUUCCUGGCAGGGAACAGGCCGAUGGGGUCUAGGGUGACCUCCAGCGGGUGUAGCUGACAGAAUUGAGUGAGGAGCUGUAGAGCAGCUGACUCCCAAGUAUCUUCCAGUGUGUGGCCGUAUGCUGAGAUUCCAAACUGGGGCCAGUCGGGCCGCGCAGGAGGGGGAGGUACUACUGCCUGCACGUUGCAUCUUUGGAUGCCUCGCUCUAGGUACAACCGUCCCGCAUACAAAGGUGGAGACUGGUACCCGAACCACUUCAAGGUGUCCCACAAGAUAGCGGGAAAACCCUCGAAGUGCAGACACGUCGAAUGGGAGGUGCCAUCUGCGCCAUACAGGACAUGUCCGGGGGCGGCCAUCUGGAACCAAGAACCAAAACAACAUGAGAUGAACUCUAAAGGCCAGGGGUCGAACAGAAAAAGCAUCCGGAUUUUAACCGAGAACAAGCUGGAAGAAACUAGAAAUCCUUAAAACCAAAGAAGAGCUUUUCCGAGCAAGGUUGCUUUUGAGGCGGGUAACUUUACAGAUUCUUAGCUUAUGUCGCAUGCACGGCCUACCACGUUCUUAACCAAAACAACUGCCAAAACUUGAUCUUACGCGGUUAGUGCCGGUGGCAAGGCAACCAGUACGUCUCUCCCUAUAAUAACUAGUCGGUUAUAUCACGUUUCCUAAGCGAUCGCGGUUAGUGCACCUGCAGAAAACACAACCACAUGAACCUUUCGUGCCAGCACCCACGAAAGCAUUCUCAAACAUUACCGUUCACUAUAGGAACGGCACCCAUGCGUUCAAGUCUGCAUGGACAACACUCAACCGUGGAAUGGAAUGGAACCGUAUAACCCCUCGCAUACUCGUGAUGCGGAAUCAGCGCACGUAUAAUAGACGUGGCGAACAACCGUGAUGAUAGGCUCGUUGGAAUCGAACCAUAAAAACCUUCGUAUGAAUUAACAUACGGAACCUGUGCACGUAUGAUAAACGUGGGCGAAACAACCGCGAUGAUAGGGUCCUUCGAAUAGAACUCCCUAUCAACCCUCGCAUACUCGUGAUGCGGAACUCGGCACACGUAUGAUAAACGUGGCGAAGUGCUGGAGGGGUUAGCAAGAUAACCAAUUAGAUAUUAGCCACCUAAAAACAACCACAAAAUCCCCUAGGGACUCUCGUACUAAAGUCAUCCUUAACGAUCGUACGAGAUUUUUCAAAGAGUUGCUUGCAACUUUUAUCUUUUAAAGAAGUGAUUAGGGCCUAUUGUGUUCUCUAUCUUGCUAAACCGGCUCUGAUACCAGCUGUGGUGGAUCCGCUUUGGAUUUACUUGAUUAGUCAUGAUUAAGCCGCCUGAUAUGCGACGCUCAUGCCUUAACCAAGUAAACACGAAGUGCCGUCGGAUUUCAUCCGAUUUAACCACUUGACCAGGACUAAAUAGCAAACCCACACGAAGGUGAGCGGUUCCAGAGAAUACAACAAGUCCACUGAGUUAACAAAUUAACCGUUUAGUUUGGCCAUAAAACAAUAUCAGAGUUUACAAGGUUCCGAAGAAAACAACAGAAGGUAAAACAACGCGCGGAAGCUACUUCGUCGGGGUCGGAUAUCCCUGGUGAGGCCAACCGGGAUAUCAAUGAUCCCUCUUCUCGCCGUCCGAGGAGGGAUCCCACUCAACCGUCCAACCCGGAGGGAGUUGGGGCGGCCAAGUGCCAGCAGAGGGAGGCUCAGAGGCAGCAACUUCACCUAAAAAAGAGGAGCCACAACAAGGCUGAGCUACUAAGCUCAACAAGACUUAACCGACAGGGAGUACGCUACUCCACCACUUCUAGACAUGCAAGGCCUUUUUUGCUGAGGGGAUUGUUUGCCAAAAGCGCUAGGUGUAUCCUUACUUUCAAGUUUUAGCUCAGGUUCUAAGUUCAUUAUCCGGUCUAAGUUUGCAACCUACUUCUAAACAGACAUAGAACCAACCAAGGUAUAUACAUCAUCAUCAAGACCAUAUCAUCAUCAGAUUCCUUUAUUACUCAGGGUGACAUAGCGAUCGAGCAGUCUUAAACUGUGAGAGGCAGACGAAUCGAUUCGAGUUUCUUAACCAUGCAUGGCGAACCUAAUCUCACGACAUCCGCGCACCACAAGGGUCGCUUCCUGUGUCGGCCGUCCCCAUCAAUUCCCAAGCGCGUGUCAGGUCCAAACUUCCCUUGGCAUGCAAUGCUCCACAGUCCCGGUCUCUACCGUAGUGUGACCGCACUUGCACCCACAUGAUGCACCAUGGGAACCUCGUUCCAGGGACAGCAGGGGUAUAAGCCACGCCCUAGUUCAAUCAGGUACUAGGCUUCCCCAUCCCAUACUAGGUAUGAGAUUAGUACUUUCAAACACUUGAUCACGAACACCACCACUGUCGGGCCUUAGCAAGUUUCAUAGACAGACGAGGUGAUCAACCGACCACCAAAGAGUUACUCAAAACCGUGCCCCGUCCAUCAUCCUUAUAGUUGUAACAGAAGGGAAACAACCAACUCCUACAGCUCGCGAGUGACAGGAAAUCACUCGGCUUUUACCGUUUCCUAAUUAAGCAAAGCAUCUACUCGGUCCAACAACUAGUGAUCAGAUCAAGGGAUCUAAGUCAUGCCUCUAUGGUUCCAAACAACUCCUAUACGUAAAUGCACAAGCAUGUUAAAUAAGGCAUGCGCAAGUUUGGUAAAACAUAGGGGAUUCAUGCAUCCGGGGCUUGCCUUCGAGCAAGGAGGAGGGAAGCUGCUCGUCUGCUUGGGCGGCUUCGGCUUCUGGAGGCAGGAGCUCGGCUACACCUUCGUCUUCUGGCGCCGGGUGCAGCUCGUAGAAGCCGUCGGCGAGACGCAACUCUACACGAAUGCAAUGCAUUGGUUAGCAUUUAGACGGUUAUUUUCAACAGCAACACUUGCAAGUUUGAGCCCAGAAACUUGCGGCAAGUUACAGGAGGGUGGGGAGGUUCGAUUGAGUUGGUGGAGAUCAAGAUAUAAGGGUUGGAUGGGGAGGAACUUAUGAUCUGACCCUUAAUCUAGAGGAAUAGAUGUGCUAGGGGUCCUCAGACGUAACGUUGAAAAGUCUCCAAGUUUUAUACAUACACCCUCGGUUCAAGGAAAAAGAUACAGCCGAGCCCUCGGGCGAGGCGGAGAAAGGUCGGCGGAACAGACAGGGUCGGGCGAGACGGAACCGGGGUCGGGCAGAUAGGAGGGGUCGGACGAGGCGAACAGGGGUCGGUAGCUUACCUUCGUCUUACAGAUGAGGCUUGGGCGGAAAGACUAAGGCGUGGGACAGCGGUGAGGAUGUCCGGUGGUACUCCGGCGGCGGAGGUGCUUCUGGUGGAUCACAAGCAAGCUCUUGUGCAGCACGGGAAACAGUGGCUGGUGGAUUGGGGGAAGGUGGUGUUUGAGCAGAGAGGAGGGUUCCUCAGACUUAGGCGGUGGCGCUGUGAGCACGAACAGGGAGCAAACGGGAGGGCAGCGAUGGCAAGGGGAACUCCGGCGGGGCUCCGGCAUUCCAUUUUAUAAAUGCGCGGAAGAGGGAAGGGGGAGCGGCGCGAAGGCCGGGGAAGAGCGAUGGAGUGCUCUGCCGGGGCGACGAGGGCGGUGGAGCAGGACUUCGGGGACGACACCAACGGUCAUUGGGCACCGAUGGCAGGGCGGUGCAGGCGCGGGUUUGCCGGUGGUUGAGAUUUGGCGGAGGUGGGCGUCGUCGUGCGGUGGAUCUGAUGGAAGUGACCGUGGAAACGGCGCUAGAAACGAGGGUGCACAGGUGAGAAGACAGGCGGCUGCGGUCGCGCGGGCGAGCGUAGAGCAACAGAUUGUCGGGGCGGAGCUUCUGACAAGGUGGAAAAGGAGCUGUCGCUGCCGCGGUCUGGGUUGGCGGAAGAGGAAUCGUCGCGUAGCGAGGACCGGGCGGCGCGACUGUGGAGGGGUGACGGAAAAUACGGGCGGCAUCGGGCUCUGCAGCCGGGAUCUGGCGAUGUGAUGAUGGGCGCGGGCGGCGAGGUGCUGCAGAAAGGGUGGCAGAGGAGCUUCCGCCGCGAUUGGGGAAGGGGGCGUGAGAAUCCAUCCGGUCGUGGCCGGCGACGAGGCGGAGCGGCGGGCGUCGGAGGAGUUGAGCCACACGGCUAGGGAACUCUGAAGCGGGCAUGCAAGUCGAGUGCGCCUGUCGCGGGAGAUCUGGGAGAAAGAUCUCGUGGGUCCACCGGUCAGCUUCGGUGGUCCACGGCUCAGAUUGAAGGGAGGCGUUGUGGGAAGACUUCGAAAGAUCCGGCGAUGGGUUGGGGAUCGGCGGGGUCGGAACUGGGGGAAACACGGCGAGGGGUCGGAUCGCAGGGGGUCGGGAGAUCUGGAGGUUGAGCACUUAGGCUUGGUAAACUGAGGCAGGUGAUCAGGGACUCGGAUUAAGAUUAACGUGAAGAAUUUUAAUCGAGGUCGUUACAGUCAGCCUAUAUAAGGCGGUCAAGGGAGCCUCCUAAGGGCGACCCAACAAAUCCCACAUCAAUUCUCGAGCAAUACAAACCACCAGAAUACAGGACGUAGGGUAUUACUCUCUAGAGGCCCGAACCUAUCUAAAACCCUCAUGUCUCUUGUGUUCUCGCGAUCACCUUCGAGUUCUUAGUUUCACAAUCGCCUCCACCUACAAAUCAACCACUUGGGUAACCCUCUGGUGGACUACCGGGCUUAUAAAUCCGACAAAAAAUUUAGAAUAUUUUGAACAAAUUUAGAUAUUAUUACAAUUACCCUAUGGUAAUUUGGAGAUUAAUGGUGUUAUUAUCCCAAACAAAUAAUUGAAUUCUUCAUCUAUCUUUAGGACAUGGCCUACAAUGGUACAUAUGAGCCUAAAUAUAAAUUUUCUCAUAUUUUUUUAAUCUUAUAAGGGGUCCAUGUAGUUAAAUUUUGAGCCUAAAUAAGCAAUAAAAAUAGUUAAUGAUUUGGUUAAAUGAGCCAAAAAAUCCAUGGGCCGUUUUCUGCUAAGACCCGACUCAUCCUGACCGUCCAUCUCUGAGCCAACGAUUCAUAUCGAUACUAAAAUGGAUAAAAGAGCCAGCCAGUAGAAACCCUAGCUCUUUAUCUCAUUCACCUCCUCAGAUUGGCCGCCUCCUCCCUUCCCAUUCACCUCUCUCUUCCUCUCUGUUUCCUCCUCAAAUCUGUCGCCGCUCACCUCGCCUCACCCCGCCACCACCAGCAUGUGCCCCUCGCACUUCCCCUUCAUCGGCCACCCAUGGAGGCAAUCUCUUUGGCAGUGGCGUUGCCAUCUGUGCAAAUCUCCUAGCACCUCCCAUCCAAUUCACCUCUCUCCCCAUCUCCUCCUCAGAUCCAACGCCACCCUCAUCGCCUCCCCCGCAACAAGGACGAGCGCCCUGGUGGGGCUAGGUCGCAGUUUUUCCAUCCGUACUCUCCCGUCCUCCACUAGAAACCCCACCAUGGCCCAUCAGGGGGGAGGGGGAGGCAUCGCUCGGCACGGCGAGGCACUUCCCACGACGCGGGGAAGCAGCAACCCGACGCCCGAGGCCUCCAUGGAUGGUGGUGUCCCAUUCUCGACGACGCACGCAUCGGCGAGACCCUCCAGCAGUUUGUCCCCGUGCAGAUCGACGAGGAAGAGGUCCUCCCAUGGCCUCCUCUCAUGCGGAUCAACGACACCAUGGCCCAUCUGUAGUCGGCGAUGCCUCUUCCCCAAGCAGAUCGAUGAUGACGAGGUCUGCCUGCAGUCGGGAGAAAUUUGGACUUUAACCAUCCCAAACAAUGGGCUUCGCAAAAUUACUAUCGUAAACAUGGGCUUCGCAAAAUCACCAUCUAAAUCACUGACAACUCGUUUUCCUUACCAUUUUCCUCAUUUUAGUGAUUUCUUUUUCAUUUUAUAUUUUCUGGGCACCUAAACUGACGAAUCUACCCUUGCCUCAUCUGGUUUGAUCGAUUGAAUCAAAAUCAAAUCCCGUCAGUUCCGGCACCACGCAUGGGAGUUAGGAAUUCACCCAACAUGGGAGCUAAAGAACUGUAGAAAAAGUUGCAGGAUGAAUACUAACAAUUUCAUAUGACACAGUCUGGAAGGGAGAGAGAAAAAGCUCUCGCCGAGAUUUAUAGUAAAUGGGAAGAGAGUUUGAGAUGCUAUACAGAUGGUUUUCACUUGGAAGUGUUGUGGAGAUUGAAGUUCUGGAAAUAGAUGGCAAUGUGUAUUUUUAUCGUUUUUCUGUGCACUUAAACCAUGCAUCUAUGGUUAUUUGGAAGGAUGUGGGCCAUAUCUGGGUAUAGAUUCUACUGCCCUGAAUGGAAGAUGGAAUGGUCAUUUAGCCUCGGCUACAACAGUUAAUGGUCACAAUUGGAUGUAUUCACUAGCUUAUGGGUUCAUUGUUUCUAACAUAGAAGACAAUUGGCUAGGAGGACGGGCAGGGGUGACGGGUGCAGAGAAGUAUGUGAUCCUUAGGGGAUUGAUCCAAUCCCCACAAGUUAUGCAUAUGUGCAAAUUGGUCCUUUUCCAUGCUUGCAAAUGGAAAAGUAAAUUAAAAAUGAAUAAAAGGGAGAAAAUGGUAAGGAAAACGAGUUGUGAACGAUUUAGAUGGUGAUUUUGCGAAACCCAUAUUUACUAUGGUAAUUUUGCGAAGCACAUCGCUUGGGACGGGAAAAAUCCAAAUUUCUCUGCAGUCGGCGAUGCAUCCAUCCCAGAUCGACCGUGACGAGGUCUGCUCGUGGGUUGGCAUCCUCCCCACGCAGAUCGAAGAUGGUGAGGUCCACCUGCGGCUGGUGAGGGCUCUUCUCCACGCGGUCGACGAUUCGGAGUUCGCCUCGAUCUCUCUGCAGGUUUGCAAAUCUACUUGCAAUUUCAAUGCUAGUUCAUGCAGGUGCCCAUUGCGUUUACGGGUUCUCGUCUUGUUUAUCUGCUUCGAUUCAUCGAUUUUGCUCAGCUGUAUGGGCGCAUGCUAUCACUGUACAAGGAACCUUGCGCUCCCUGUUAAUUCCUGUAGAUUCAGAAAAAAAUUAGCAGCGUUCCUUGGCUCAUGGUGCCUUCAAUUUCUUCUCUACGCAGAACUUGCUGCUGAAAAACAUGGUUCAGCAAGAAUCAAUAUAUCUGCUUGUGUUCAUGGUUGGACUUGAUAAUUGAAAGGAAUACUUAUAGCUGUGCAUGCAUUACCAGAUUGGUAACUAAUUGAUUACUUCUAGAAUUUGUUCCGACAGAACCACUGUCAAACUCGGUAAGGCUUUUCAUUGAGGCAAAAUUAACUUGGCUUCAGACAUUCAGUUUACAACAAGAAUCACCAUAUGCUUACUGAACACUGCUGGAUGUUGUCCACAACACUGCAAAUCUUUUUUUCAUCUGAUUGUUGGUUGCUGACCCUAUAAAGUUAAUGCAUCUAUUGCUCUGAAGUCUAAAACUGUAACUGAUCUAAGCCUCUGAACAUUAGUUCUAUCAUUUCUAUUGUGCUUUGUUCAGUCUUAAACAUGUAGAAUCUGGUAGCAUUAAAACAUGGUUGGUACUCAUGGAGGGGGGACUUUGUGUGGGAGUCCAAAAAGAAUGAAAAUUCCUACUAGUAAUACCUAAACUUCCUAUUAAAAAACUAGACCUGUGGGGGUAUGACGCCCCCGGCAUUUGGUUAAGAAGAAGAUCUUCUUACGUAAGCCUAGAAAACUCCUGAACUCCUACCUCACCCUUACACAGUGGGUCCAUGUGAGAAUUAGAUCAAACCUUCUUAUGCUUUGGUAUGGUGGCAGGUGAGAGGAUUUUUUUCGCUUCCGUAGGAAGUCGAAUCCGAGAUGUGAGGAGGUUCUACUUGAGCCUCUAACCAAAUCAGCGGUCGUUCGCACCUGAGCUUCCCGUUACUUUUUAGGAUGCUGCUAAUUUACGGCCGGCCGUAUUUCAGGUCGAUCGCGGCCGCACCAUUUUUGACAGUAAUGAUUAGGAAAAGCAAGUCGCUUUCCAUUUUUGUCUUCUGCCUGUGCAGGCAAGGUUUGACUCCUGAUAUGUCUGCUUCUGCACUAGAGAACAAAUUGAACCACCCAAGAACCGCAGAACAUUGGGAAAAUUGCCCAGUACAAAAAAAAAAGGCAUAGGUACAGCGUGCCAGAUCACCAAUGCAAGCAAAUUAUAACAUAUACAAAGGUAAAUUAGAACGUAUCUAAAGGUAAAUUAGAACAUAUACAAAGGCAUUUUCACCCAUCCAUUUCCAAAACAUUCACAAAAUCAAGUCUUCAGGCCUAAUCCCGUGGCACCAAAAUGAAAACAUGGAUUAGCUCCAUCAUCAAGUUCGUGCGAAUCUGCUAUGACACCAAGCACAAAUCAGCAAACAAGAAAAAAGUUGAUCAGUAUAUAAAAUAAAAGAGGGCACAUAAUCGGAAUAUAAAUUUGCCAAAACUAGAAUAAAAAUUAUAAACUAAAAUGAGUUUAUAAGAAAAGUUAUAAUCACUGUAUGAAAGUAUUAGUGUACUACUCUAGUCUACAUUGCAGCGUUAGGAAAUUAAUUGUAGUUGCAAAACUCUCCUACUAGUCAAACAUACAGUAGCUCACAUUAACUGCUUUUACUUUUCAUACAUGAAUUAGUAAUGUGAUUAGAAUUGCAUGAUCAGAACAGUUGUACCAAUAUCAGCACUGUAUCUAGUUUCUUUUCAGCUCAGAAUGUUAAAAGACUGUAAGGUUGCAGAUUUAUAAAAUCAUGUCAUUUUGCAUGCCCAUUAUCAUAUUAUUGUCUAAAGAAAUGCAUUACAUAUUCUUUUCCUAGUUCAGAGCUAUGUAUGUUGACUAGUGCCACAUGACUCUUUUAAAAUAGUAAGAUAAUUAUCAUAACACAUGAUUAAAAAAUGAUAAAAUGAUCUUAUAGCCUACAGUUCUACUAGUAAGUCAAGAAAAACAAAGGAAAAUGUAUCAGGAAAUAUGUACAAAAUUUGAACUCACAUCUUAGAAUUGCACAACCUACUAGCAUUUAACAACCUAGCAAUAUUUUUUGCCUGUGGUUUUUAUUUCAGGAUUGCGCCAAGAAAGUAAUAAUCAGAAAAUAUGUAGUAGACUUAAAAAUAGGUUAGAUCAGGCUAAAGAACUAGCUUAUAUAUCUAGUACACGGUAGUAGUAGUUGUCUUUGAGCUACUAUUGAAAACAAUAAUUAUAAGGGAUUGUGAAAAAUGCUCAAUGAAAAAUUGCCUAAUGAAAUAUAUUGUUUUGCAUAAUCCAGAACCAUAUCAAUGCCCAAUUCUUGUCAUAAUAUUGCCUAAUUCGGGGGGCCAUAGUAUUUGCUAUUUUAGAAAUUUAUUGUUGCCUUACGAAUAUAUUGUUUUGCCUAAUUCAGUAGAAUAUUAUUAGCUAAUUCGCAGACGUAGUAUUUUCUAAUUAAGAACCAUAUUAUUAUUGUCCUGUGAAGUAUACUGUUAGCAUAUUAUUGCCUAAUAAAUUACAAUGAGACAUUUGCUACUAUUACUUGACCUAGUAUAAAAUGACCUUGAUGGCCUUGGCUAAAUAGAAUGCAUAAAUUUGCUUGCACUUCCAGAAAAACCUAAACCAUUCAAUAAUUUAUAAUUCAUAGCCCUUUCACCUUUUUGAACAAGAUUGUAGGAAAGUUCAUUACAAAAAUUUAACCAAAUCAAAACAAAAGCAGUUGGCAAAUUACGAUAAUGUGAAGAAAAAAAUAAGGACAACAAAGAUUUUAUUCUUUGCAGCAGUCACAAAAUACUUAUAUGCAAAAGGAUGUGAAAUGUCACACUUUCCAAAGACAGCAACAAGGCUGCAAAAAGCACUCACUGUCCAUGAUGGUCAACUUCAGAUCGGUUAGCACCUGAACCACAUCCAGCGCUGAUCCUGCGAGUGGCUUACAGCCAAGAACCAAGCAGAGUUAGCAGAGGACACAGGUCAAACAACAGAAAUAAACAGCCAUGGGGAAUGGAACGACAUAAAGAAACAACAGUUGGGAAUUUACUCGCCAGUUCUGAAUAAUAGAAAGAAUCAACCACGAGCAGUUAAAUGGCAGAAAUAAAGAAGCAUGGGAAAUGAUCUACUAGUUCCGAACCAUAAAAAACACAUGCGAGAGAAAUGAAAGAAGAAUGGAAGAGAAAUAAAGGAACACUUGCCGUUGAGACCUAGUCACCACCAGCAAGUUAAAACAGAUGAAUACAUGUGCGGUUAAUGCCUAUGAAAAAUUAUAAAGGCCGCAUUUGAUGCAUUAAAUCCAUUACUGAGGUUAUACCUGAUACAUCUAGUAACAGUGCUGCUAGUUCUGUAUGACCUCUUGAAAAUGAGAUGCUUAAUGGCAUUGCCUAAUGUGUUUAGCUAAUUUAUAACCAUAUUUUUACCUAACCUAAAAGGUAUUAUUGUCUAAAGGUGGGAGUUGUGACACAACAAAACCAGGGCUGAAAAAAUAAGUUAUGAAUAAUUAGCUUCUAUAUAUCUAGUACCAACACUGCUGGCUGAAGGCAAAGCAAACAAAAUGAAGUGCGCUCUUGUGCCUAAUUCAGACCUAUAUAUUGCCUAAUGUUUAGCAGUGUUAUUGCAUAACGCUAACAGAGGGCAAAAAAAGCAGGAAAGCUUGCCUAAAACAUAACAGAGGGCACAUCAUAGCAUGUUUCCAUAUGAAAUGGUUCUGCUUGCUCACAUGAAAAGGCUAGGAACGCUGCUGGCAGCCUCUCCUCGCCAUCCCGAACCACCCAGGGCUUCCCCCUUGCCACCGCCAGCCAUCUGAGAGAGGAGAAGGGAAAAGAGGAGGAGGAGGAGAGGAGGAAGGGGGCGCGUCGGAGGAGCUGCCGUGCCGCGCUAGGAAGGAACCGGAGCUGCCUCGUCGCCGUCCUAGGAGGAGGAGUCGCCGCCGCAUUCAUCGAGGAAGCCACCGCCGUUCUGCGAUCCUUCACCGUGCCGGCGUCCCUCUUCUUCUCCACCCUCGGUGAGCUGCGCCACCACCUCCCUUGCUCUGCCUGACCGGCCUUCGUGCCGCCCGUAUCCCUUGCAUGAUCGUCCUUCGAGCCGCAGCCGUCACCACCGUCACCAUGGCCGCCACGAGUUCGGGGUGCCGGAACCCCGCGCGCCGCCACAGGCGUGUCAUGGGAAGGGGGUUCCCCUGCGCCGCACACACGCAGCCGCCUCACGCCUGCCUUGCCGCAGCGAAAGCCUUCACCUUUGGCCGGGCUGCAGCCCCGCGCCGCGCCCCACCCUACCACCGCGCCUGCUUUGACGCACCACGCUGCCCGCAGCUCCACCGCGUGCUAGCCCGCGCCGCGCCAUUAUGGCUGCAGUCACCACUUGCGUCACGCCGCCGCAACACCGCGCCCGCCGCCAUAGCCAAUUAGGUGCGCGCCCCACGCUCGGCCACACGAGCAUGGCGCACGGGAUUCGGUUGGCCAACCGAAUCCCGGCACAGCCUGGACGGCCACGUGUGCGGGCAGCAAUGCCACGUAAGACUAGGCCGGCCACGUGGCUGCCACGUGGGGCCACGUGGCACUGACUUGUCAAGGGUCGGGCCCACUCAUGGGGCCAUUGACCCGUGGGGCCCACCUGCUGAUCAAUGGGGCCUAGUUGACCACUAACCAGAUAAUGUUGACCAAGUCAACAUUGAUCGUUGACCGGUCAACACUGAUGUCAGCCGACACGUAGCACUCUCCCGUGCUGCCACAUGGCUUAAACAGAAGCUGACACGCGUCACCUAAUUUAUGAAUUUCCAAAAUUAAAUAAAUAAUUAAAUAAAUCCUUUUACCUUUGAAAAUUCAUAACUAAUUCAUCUUAACUUAGAAAUCUUGGAGUUUUUGCCUAGAUUAAAUGCCAAUUAAUUUAUAUUCGCUACUACCUCGAGGACUCUUAUGAUCCCGACUACACCGAGGAGGACUUCAACGAUGACAGACAAGGUAUCAUGUCACUCCCAAUCAUAUAGAACCUAUGCAUGCUUAGUUGCUAACACUUUAUUUAUGAUGCUUGGAUGAUGAUUGAUUGCGUAGCGUAUGUUUCUAGCCAUGCCUUGAUAAUUAUUUAUCCUGCUUUCCUUGUUACCUACUUGUGGACUAGCUGCGAACCUCUAGCUAAUCCACCUUACUUAUAUCCAUAUACAUGCUUUUGAGUUUUGGAUGGGCAUAUGCCAUGGAUUUGGUGAUGGGAUUCCUUGUACACCCUCGCGUGUGUUUUGGGUGCGUGUGAUCCCUUGACGUGUUUUGGCGAGAGCGAGCCGCGGUUGGUAAUGAGGAGUGCCUUGCUAGGGGAGAACUUUCUGGACUCUCUCCACCCCCUGUGCUUGUGGCAGGUACCUUAUUUGACACUGAGGAGCAGGUGGCAUAUCUGUACAUUGCUGGUGCUUCGGCAAAUACUUUGUGGAGUUGAGUGCUCGCUCUUGUCCCUUAAGGAUCGAGUCAGUUUAAGCAUAUUUCUUUGGACCAUUUACAUACAUACCGUUCGCUCACAUUAUGGGCGGGGUUCGGUCCGAGACUAGUGGUGGAUAGCACUCAGCCUGUAGGUGGAUUGGAGGAUCAGUGUAAGGAAUUCGAAUUCGAUACGUUGACCUGCUCUGACCAGACUACACCCUGGCGUGGUUAGGUUUCACAGCUUCGAGGUCUUCAACUAGUCAUGGCGUGCCCUACAGUCGAAGACACUACCAGACUCGAGGAACAAGAGAGUGCUAGCCACCUACUAGGGCUCCGACCGUUAGGUGGGGUUUAGACGGCAUAUCCCCGUUCAGGCUCCAUCCGUGCAGGUACAGAUGUAUAACCUUUGCAGAGUGUAUAACCUAUAGCUAUAGUCCGUGUCCAUUGGGAUGGAUAGUCCCCUAAUCUGUUACUCUGACUAGACUUAUACUACACUUCUACCUUCCCCCCUUUUUUGAGAUAGGCUGGCGUUUGACGUUGAGAUGUGAGGGAAGGGAGCUCUCACAUCGCCUAGUGUGUUUGUGUACUAGAUUCUUAGGUGAAGGAUCUGGUGGUUUGUGACGACUUCCUUGUUGUGAGGUGUUGACCUCGAAGAUGGUAUUGCUUUGAUGCAUCCUUGAUUGCUGUUGUUGCUGCAUAAACUUCUACAACCAUAUAUAGGUUUAUCCAUGCAUAUAGUAUUAUUCCCCCAUUUUCUUGGCUUGCUGCUAUUGGGAGUUGACAUGCCUUACCCGCUUCUCGGAUAGAUGGUGGCUUUUCAGGGUCGGAGCCCGACUACAACUUCAACAACGACGAAUAGAAAAACUAGGGAUGGUCCCUCGCUCAAGUUGCCUCUGGAGGUGGUGUUCGCCAUAGCUCAUGUUUCCACUGCGUAGAUAUUUUACCUUUCAUGAUUCAAUCCUGAUGGACUUGUACUUGUAUGAGCCGAAGAGAUGUACUCGUUAUUUAUAAUAUUAUUACUCUGUUGCUACUUUAUAUUUCUGUGUUGGUAUGGAUUUGUACUAUCUGCGUUAAGAAUUCGCAUAUGAUAGCCUUCCUGGGACUAUCACAGAGAUGCGUAGGCUUGAAUUCUCAGAAAUGUGAAUUCAGGUAGUUUCACUUGUAGUCCACACCUUUUGUACAUAUUUUAUCUCCUUUAAUAUAAAAAAUCAGUAGGGGCCUCCCCUGCUGUUCCAGUUAAAAAAAGAUAAAUAAAGCACUAGCAAACUAAUCGAGCAAUGCUUAAUAGGUAUUCAAAAUGGAAUGGGCGUGAACCUAAGUAGUAUUCCUCCUCCUUGAAGUACUCCUUGUAGUUCUGCCCCUGGUUCAGCUGCGGGUCUUCAGUGGCUCCUAAAUAUGUAAUUACCAUAAUCAAAGGGGUCUAAAAGCGAACUAAAUCCAAAACAGAUCUAUAGAAGGUCCAAACAAGAUCAAUACUUAGUCUACCAUGUGCUUCAUGAUUUAAGAAAAAUUAUGAAACUAGUUCCAUAAUUUUUGGAGUUAAAAUGAAAUAGUUAUGAAUUUUUGAAGUUUAAAUCAAUUUUUAGAUUUUUAAAUAAUUUUCGAAAAUUAGAAAAACACAUGGGUGCCAUGUGGCCGCACUAGAGCGUGCCACGUGCCCUGCUGGCAUCAUCAGUGGACCAUGACCAAAACUUAAUGACUUACUUGACCAAAACGUUAUUGCAAAAACAUGAUCAUUUUUUCAACCAGGUGCAAUGCGAUAACAAGAACUACAUAGUGUCUUGGGAUGACCCAUUUGCCUUUACAUAUAUCCACCAUCUAAUUGUGCGAGUUCCAUCCCUCUCUUUCCCAUCAUUAUUUUUUCAUGACCAUUAGAAGUUUAUCCUAGUUUGACAAUAGUUUGGAUAUAAUAUUUUGCUAGAUUAUUUUUACCUACCAAGUUCCACAUGAGCCUUCCACUUGUUCACAUGAGUGGAAUAUGUUGAUAAUGUUCUAGCAUAGGCUUAAGGGACUUGUAGCUGAAAUGAAAGUUAUGAAGUUUUCUUAAAUUUCAGAGCAUUAUAUUAAAUUCUAUGUGGCUUGUUCCUUAUUAAAAAAAAUGUAUAUCCUCUAUAAUUAUAAGUUGGCUACUACCUGAGCAUCAAUUGAUCAUCUAAUGGAGCAUUAUGUUUUAGCUUUUAUGUGUCUAGGAUUGGCACUGAAGGGCAAUGCUGAUUUUUGUGGAGGACUCGCUCAAAGGACCAGCAAGGUUUCAGUAUGGGAGUGUUUUUUGACACUCCUUAUUGAUACAAUUCCAUCUCUAUUUACCUUGAACAUUAUUGGCAUAAAAUAAUAUCAUUAUCAUUAUCAUUGAUCAUAGUAGACAAUCAGAUCAUAUCUAGGUAUUGUUAUGUUUACAGUAUGUCGUGUGUUCAUAUGAAAAUAUAGCUGAACUCGCAGCAUUUACAUUCAAGGUCUAGAAACCAACAACGAGCCUAGAAGGAACGAAGACCAGAAGGCAAAAAUGUGGGCUGUCGAUCGAGGUCCACUAUGUCGCCCGUAUCUAGAUUUGGUGAAUGUUCAUUCUCGGAGAAACGGGGGCAAAGCACUUGAGGAUUUAGCAGUCAUUGUCAAGCCAUGUGCAAGCUCAGAAUUGGAAGGCGCAAUCAACAUUCAUGAAGAUCCGUUCAUAUAUUAUGGAUUUCGGUAGCUAGGACCCACAUGCAAGUAACAUGAUUCUGCUAGAAAAUAAGGAGUUGACAAGGGCGGACCAAUCCAAGAGCCGGGGGGUGGGGGGAGGGGGUGCUGAAGUCUCCUUCCUCUUCCCCUUCCCUUUCGUCUUAUCCCCUCACUUUCUCCUCCCUUACUCCAAUGGAACCUGCAUCCAGUAGGGGGGCUGCAGCCCCCCUCCUGGAUCCACCAUUGGGGAUUGACUUGGUGGGAAAAGCAACGUGACUUACCAAAGGAGUGCCAGGCGCAAUCAACAUUCAUGAAGAUCCGUUCAUAUAUUAUGGAUUUCGGUGGCUUUGACCCACAUGCAAGUGACAUGGUCCUUCUGAAAAAUCAGGGAUUGACUUGGCGGGAAAAGCAACACCACUUACCAAAGGAAAGGGAGCUUGCCAAUCGGCCAGGAUCCUUCUUGGCCGAUCAGCCAAGCAUCCCCCCUCCUAACAUUUGCCUACCAUUUAUAUCACAGCCUCCUUAGGAUAUGAAUAUCCCCUCCUUAAUUGGUCCCCAUCACUCGCAUAAGAAGAGAGGCUUGAGGAACAUUCAUCCAGAGGGAGCUAAGGGUUGUUCAAGUCAUCUGGAGUUUAGCUUAGGUAUGCUCUGGCUAGCGUGAUCACUCUGCAAGGAAGGUCCACCACUGAGUUCUAGAGCUAGGAAUAAUAGAUCAUAGGUAUGAUCUCCAUGGUUAUCUUUUUGUCACAGCAAUGUAAUUCCUGUUUUCCGAUUCAAUAACAAUCCAUAUGUCUCCUUUUUUUUCUAUUGUUAUAUGUGUAUGUUUAUUCCAAUCUAUGUAUGUUGUAGAUUGCUCCAAGUGCUCUUGCAAUCGUAGUGACUAGAGUUAGAUAUAUAAUCUAUCAUAGCAGUUAGACAUGUGACGAUUGUCUCCCCCAAUGCACUCUCGGUGCUCAUGCUCUUAGAGCGUCUUGCGUAGAACUGUAUGGGCCUAGUAGGGCCGAACGUGGAGGUUUUAAAUAUGCUGUAAGUGAGAUUCAUAUUUUGCUUGUUAUCUAGAGCUAUAAAACUACCAUGUAGGCAUGUUUAUGCUUUUCUAAGUUACCUCUCUAGGGUAAGUUAUCUAUUGUUGAUAGCUGUUCGUAGUGUUCUUGCAAACCCGAAUCAUGCUUACUUGACGCUUACUUGAUGUUACCUCUCUACAGAUUUCUUAUCCUCUAAACUUCCAUUUCUCAUCCCAUUAAACUUCCAGGCCCACUAAACAAACAAUAGAAUUUUAAUCUCUCGCAUCUAAACUCUUUUUCCCACCCACCAAUUAAAUCUUGUCCCAAAUCUUGAUCUUUAAGUUCUAAUCAUCCUUACACCUCCAUUCCAUAUUUUUGCCAAAUUUUUCUGAAUUUCAAAUUCAAAAUUCAAAUUUCGAUCAAAUUUGACCCGAAUUUGAUUUUUGGCCAAUUUCUUCUUCUUUUCUUCGUAAAUUGCUUCCAUUUCUUCAGAGUCACUUUGAUGACUAAAAAUGGCAGGUAUUAUAGCAGACCAUCCGACUUCGGAAAGGUGGACCGUCCAUUUUGAAUGGCGGACUGUUAUGCGGACUGUCCGCCGAUCAAGUGCGGACCGUUUUGGCAAAGGUAGACAGAUUCGGGAUGGUUUUCUAACUUGAAUGGCGGACCGUCCACCCCACAAUGGUGGACCGUCAGCAGUACAAAAUCAACACAGGAUGAAAAGAUGUGCAGAGGCUCGAUUGGUUGUGUGGUUGAACGGCGGACUGUCCGGCCAUCAUAUGCGGACCAUCCGUAGUACAAAAAGUGCUCAAGAAGUAGAAAUGUAAAGGUUCUGUUGUUUUUUGGUGUGCAAACGAAGGACUGUCCGCACCGCCCUCGUGGCUCGGCGACAACUCUAGCGUCGGUUUGGGGUGCGGUUUGUUUCUUUAGGUUCCCGGAAGUGUCUAGAGUUCAUCUAGGGAGAUAGAUUUGACACGCAUUAAGGAUUCAAAGCUCUAGGUCAUUAAUGGUGAUUUGGCUCUAAAGGGUUCCAUGGAUUCACAACAUAGGGCAAUGGGGAACGGAUCGGGGAUGGAGAUGGUUCAUCGGCGAUGUGUAGGACUCCGGUGAGGUGCCACAGGUUGGUGUAGGGUGGCGUUGGAGAAGCUCUGGGUCGUCCUUCACUUGAAUCUUGGGGAAGGUCUUGGGGAUGGAGGAAGAAGAUCUUGAGGAAACUUCAACUCCGAGCCCAAGGAAGAAGCUGAGGUCGAGGUGGUGCAGGGCAUCAACGUCGAGCUCCGGCAAUCCUCCAGCGAAGCUCCGGUGAGGUGAAGGCUUCAAUGGUGGAGGGACCUUGGGGGCUCCUCCAUGGCUUGGGUUGAGAGAGAGAGGAAGUGAAUAGGAUGGACUGCAAGGUGCUCUGUGCGAGGAGGGACGUGGGCUGACGAGUGGGUCCGUGUGGGUGACGUGGCGCAAAAGUUAUGCACGCGCGACACGUACCGAGGUGUGCUAGCGGACCGUCUACGAGUGAGGGGCGGACUGUUCGUGGUGACAUGGCAAAGGAGUUGCUGGGUCGUGCUUGACCGAGGCAAGUUUUGUUUAUUUGCAACCAUGAUUAAUGCUUAAUGAUGCUCACGAUGACAUGCUUAGUCUAAACAAGAUUAAGGCUGUUACAAUCCGGAUAUUUCCACACCUAAAACGUCAUAUAAUUGUACUGCACUAGCUACGUCAUUAUUAUGCUUAGUAAAGUGUGUGCCGCUUGCUCGGCACAAUGCAAGUUGAUCCCAAACCUAAUCCUGUAGCUGGGACACUUGUGGUCUAGUUUUGUGAACCUAUCCUUAAAUCCUGGACACUUGUGGUCUAAAUUAGGAACACUCUAACCCUGAAUGGUGGACACACAUUGCGGAAAAACCCCUUUCCCUGCUGGACCAGAACAAGAAUCUGGGAAGCACACUCUAGGAUCUAGCAGGUUGCUGCACAUUUAUGUACUGUACGUGUGCACUACAACAGACACAAGAACGUCAGCAAUGCCACCGUGGUACAUGCAUAGGCAUACUCGGUCGGUAAUCUUUAGCUUUAGCUGUUGUCAAAACUGCACCUGUUGGAAUGAACGUCACAACUCACAAACUAUGUCGACGAGGCGUCCAUCAAAGAUGAGUGUAAACAAGGCGAGUUAUCCUCCAGUUCAAUUCAAAAACGUGUGUCAAUUUUUCCUUGCACCAAAGGUGUGGAAAUUAAAGCUAGGCACAAAAUGUAUACAGAGAGAGAUUUUUUUCUUUUUAAGAAUCCCAUUGGUAAGAUAUGAUGAAUCAUGAAAACUAACGAAUUUGCAAAAGCCAUAAAUAUAUUCGAUACGAUCAAUAAUACAUAUAGGGUACUAUUGGCAAUGAACACUACGGGAAACAGACAGUUCGCUGAGUGCCUGGGGCACUCGGCGAAGGCCAAAAAACCCUCGGCGAAACGUUUGCCAAGUGUAACACUCGGCAAACGACACACGGUAAAUUUUGAGUCGGCAAAGUUAGCUUUGCCGAGUGUUCUAUGUCGUGCACUCGGCGAAGCUUUCGCCGAGUGACAACAAAACACUCGGCAAACAUAUUUUUUGAAAAAAAUAAAAAAAAACCAAAAGUGGCAGCCGCCACCACCACCGGCACCACGGCCGGCCACCACCGCCGCUGGUAGUUGCUGUUCCCGGCGCAGGCAUGGACCUUGCUGUUGUCCACCUCUGGGAAGAGGUAGGCCUGGGGGCACCUGGAGCUCGUGCACACUAUGCGGUCGCCGGAGCUGCAGGAGAAGGCCAUGGCGAGGUUGUAGCCGUCGAUCACCGAGAUGUCGUAGAAGUCCUGGGCGCCGCCGAGGGUGAACUCGGCCAGCGUCAGCGGAGGCUGCCCGGAGAGCGUGCAGGAGAGGGCGCCCGCGCAGUCGCCGGUCUGGCACUUCCCUCUGCUGUUAUUGUUGAAGGAGCAGCCCGUGCGGUCCCAGAUCCGCCGCCGCCACCCCAGUCGCCACGACCCGCCGCCGCCGCCGCCCCAGUCGCCACGACCCGCCGCCGCCGCCGCCCCACGGCCAGAUCCGCCGCCGCCGCCUCGGUCGCCACGACCCGCCACCGCCGCCACCCCGCGGCCAGAUCCACCGCCGCCGCCCCGGUCGCCACGACCCGCCGCCGGGAGGGCGCCAGAUCUGGCCGCGAAAGAAAGGGGAGCCAGAUCCGGCCGGGGGAGGGAGAGGGGCGCCAGAUCCGGCCGGGGGAGGGAGAGGGGAGGGGAGGGGAGGGAAGGGAAGGGGAGGAGGAGUGGAGGAUGUGCGCCGGGGGAGGGAGGGCCGCCGGGGGAGGGAGCUAGGGGAGGAGGAGGGGGCGGCGUGAGGGGAGGCCAGGGGGAGGAGGAGGGGGCAGCGUGAAGAAGAAGGCGCGGGGGGGGGGGGGGCGGGUGGUGUUUGUGGGCCGGGCCGGCCGGAGCCGGUACGGUUAAAAAAAGUUCGCCGAGUGUCCUAGGUGGGCACUCGGUAAAGUUUUUCUUUGCCGAGUGUCUACCCUAGGACACUCGGCAAAGUUUUUUUUAAAAAAAUUUAAAAAUAUCCAACAGUUUCAAAAAAAUACUAAAUUUUCACACGAAAUAAGAUAUGUUCUCUACUGACUAUACAAAAAGUUUUGUAGUCAAACCGAACUCGACCGUCACUUCGACUCUAAAUUUUAUCGAAUCCUUCUCAAAGUUACUAUUCUUCUUCUGAUAUGCUUCGGUUUGUAAUCAUCGUACAUGAUGAAAUGUGCAAAACCUUCCCAAUUUUUUUCCACAGCUUCCACGUAUUAUAUCAUCACAUAACUACAAAUCUCAUGAUUUUCAGACUUUGCUUGUUUUUUUUACAAUUUAAAAAAUACUACCGCCACACGCUCAUUGUCGUGUUUCCUGAACAAGAUGUUCAAAAUUUCUUUUCAUUUCAUGGGUCAGGUCUCAAAUUGAGCCAAAUAACAUGAAUAUCAUUUUUCUACUCAUUUUGUUCCACAAUUUGAAUCACUUGCAGUUCAAAUUUGACUUAUACCAAAAAUUUCCUUGAAAUGCAAUUAAUUAAAUAAAUAUAGCAAAUAAAUCAAAAUAUACCAAAUUUUAACAUGGAGUACCACGUGUUGUAUGUGGGGAGUAGAAAAAAUUCAAGGUGAAAAGAGGAAAAAAAAUUAUUUUUUUGCCGAGUGUCAAAAAAAACACUCGGCAAACCCCCCUCUUUGCCAAGUGUCUUUUUUGACACUCGGCAAACUACCCUCUUUGCCGAGUGUCUUUUUUGACACUCGGCAAAGAGGGUAGUUUGCCGAGUAUUUUUUAUUUGACACUCGGCAAACCCCCGAUUUGCCGAGUGUAUUUUUUUUGCCGAGUGUUUUUGGCUUGGCACUCGGCGAAGAGCUUGUUUGCCGAGUGCUCGAAAAAAACACUCGGCAAAAAAAAUACACUCGGCAAUUUUAAGGUUUCCCGUAGUGGAAUGGGAUGGGGCAUGUGAACUUGUGGUAAGAGCUUGUGGAGGGGAUUCACUUGGGAAUACUCAUUCCCUUGUUUGUCUUUUGGAGGAAAUUAACAGGGAGUUUAAGUGAGACUUUAUAUCCUUUGUUUGGCGUGGGGGUUUAGAGGUGAAAAUUCCCCUUGUGUGGUAGGUGCACAUUUUUUAUUUGAAUGUUUGAGCAUUACAAAUAAUUUAGCAAAUUACUAAAAUCUGUCAUAUGUAACGUUCCUUUAUUUCCUUGGUAUAAAAAAAAUCUUGACUCACAAAUUUUGUGCAUGCAUCCACACAUGAUGCUAAUUGUUUUUAAAUUUUUUUUGCUACAUGUUUAGUUUUCAAACUUUAAGGAUCAUUUGGAUUGAAAUGAAUAGAACGUGUUCACGCCUGCUAACACGUGUACGUUACACUCAGCUAGCAGGUGUUAGCUAGGCUCGACCAUAUGAAAUAUAGUAUUCAUCAAUUCGGAUAAGAGGGUACAAACAAUUAGAGUUAUGCUUACAUUGUAGGGUGCAAUAUCGUUGUAUCUAUUUUUUUAUCUUAGAAAAUCUCUUGUAUAAAUUAAAAAGAUAGAAAUGAAUGAUUAUUUGAGUAUAAGGAUAUAUGAUUUUUUGAGUAUAAGGAUGUAUGUAUAGAUCCACUAAAUGCAAUAAACAUAUAGUGGUAGAAAUAGAAAAAAUCCACAAGUUUUUAAAAAUACAAUUAGCAUUAUUUUACCAUAGCAAUGCACGGGCAUUUUGCUAGUUAUAUAUUAAGUCAUGAUUAAUAAUGUAAAUGCAUUUAUCUUCUACUUUUUAAAAAACAAAUUCUCACCCUCCCCAUGGGAAUUGAUUGGUGGGCAUUUCUCGUCCCAUUAAAACUUCCAGGCCCACUAAACAAAUAAUAGAAUUUUAAUCUCUCGCAUCUAAACUCUUUUUCCCACCCACCAAUUACAUCCAACCAAACAAGCCGAUAGUACAUAGAUAUAUAAUUAUACGUCAAGAAGAUGAGGCAGUGGAGGAAUUGCGUAUACAAUAUAUUACGAUGUGUAUGCGUAUAAGUUUAGCCGGCGCUAGCAUUCACAUAUGCAUGCUCCUCAGCCUACGUUGAUACAUGUACAUUCGUACAUACACACAGGACGGAAACACGAAAAGAAAGGGAAUUAACAAGCAGGCGACUUUAAACAGAGCGUCAAAUAAUUAAGUUGCCAAAACCGAGUAGACACUUCAUCCACGGUCGCUCACGAGCGAGCGGUCCGCGCGAUAAGCUUAUUUGGCGCCGCCGGUCUUACUCGGAGCCUGGGGGCUUGUAGGCGAUGAACAUGACGCACUGCACCUGCUUGAUGUUGUCGAAGCCGAUGAUACGGAUGUAACAGUCGGGGUAGGCCUUCUUGCACUCCUCGAACUCAGCGUACACCUGGGUGGCCUCGGUGCAGCCGAACAUGGGCAGCUUCCACAUGGUCCAGUAGCGCCCGUCGUAGUAACAGGGAGACGUGCUGUUCUCACGAUAGACGAACCCGAUCUUGCUGAACUCGAGGCAGGGAAUCCAGUUCUUCCGGAUCAGGUAGUCGAUCUGCUUUAGGACCUCGUCCGUGGAGAGAGGUGGCAGGUAGGAGAGGGUCUCGAACUUCUUGUUGCCCUCCGCCGGCCACACCUGAGCAAUUAACAAUACCCAUGCAUCAGUUCCUGACUUCCUACUACUCAGUUGCAUUUAACUCAGAUCGAUUGUCGAGCUGUUUAUUCGGUCGUGCAUGCUCUGUAUGUACUCUGUUUCUCUCUACUUAACGAAAAACAUGCUAUUGCGCGUCUUAAAAAAAAGAUCGAUCGAUUGUUACCUGCAUGCACCUGAUCCUUCCGCCGUUGCUGACGUUGCCGAAGCCGGAGCUGCUGGAGCGGCGGCUGACGGGGAGUCUGGCGGUGGACUUGAGCCCCUGGAAUGGAGCGACGGAGGUGGCGGCGGCCAUCGCGGUGGGGGCCAUGGCUUACUAGAGACCAAGCUAGCGAAUAAAACUGAAGCCUCAGUAGCUUGAGUUGAGGCUUGUGGCAAGGGGCACAUAUAACCAAACCAGAGGGGAUGUCAGGAUAUGGCAGGAGUGGCUGCUGUUGGACAGUCCAAACGUUUGUGGCUAGCUCAUGCGGCGUCAGCUGCUCU
rnacentral:lncRNA from 1 species